rnacentral:lncRNA from 1 species
UUAUAUACUCUUAAAAGUUAUGAGACAUUGAACGAUACUUGUACAUGAAAAUCAUAGAAAAUUAGUUUUCUAACUUCUUCAUUACUUUACAAACAUCCACUAAGAUUCUAGUUAAGAUAAAAAAACCUAGUUAAGAUUUUUCCCUUCUUUCAUAACAUCCAACAUAAGGAUGUGAAUGAUCUCUAUUUGAAAGUUUUUUUUUUCAUAAAAGAAUUAGUGGUAUCAGUGCAAUAACUCAUAUUAAGUCAGUUAAUUAAAAAUUUGACAUAUAUUAUAUUGAUUAUAAGGAUCUACCGAUAUAAUAUAUUAUUUUCAUAAUAAAUAAAAAUUUAAAAAAUCAAUUUGACUAUGGUUGAAUGAAAUAUGUCUUUUGAGAAUUAAAAUAAAUAAAUAAAAAUAAUUUAACAUUAAACAUGGUACGUUCAUCCGAAGUUUAACAUUCUUCAUAUAAAGAUAUCUUGUAAAGUUACAAGAACAAUAAAAAAAACACAACAAUGUCAUGCAAACCAUACUUCAAAAAACUAGUCAACAACAUGUUUUGUUUUCUGUCGUACACAUUUGUUUUUUCAACUUUUUGUCGGUUAUCAUAACUAUUCAUAAAAAAUAAAACACCAUUUUAACGAACUUCUAGUGCUUUAGAACACUUAGAUUCUAAAAUCAUAUUUUUACAACCAAAAUCAACUUCAAGAACAUGACAUUUUUAAAAUCUAUGAGAAAAGGCUUGUAUUGAUGAAGGAAAAUAUUUGUUUAGACCAUAUCUCACAACACAUUACAAUAAUAAUAUAAUAUUUAAAAUUUAAAAAUAAAUUAAAUAUUAUUUUAUUAAUUUAUGAAGUGUAUGUUGAUUACUAUUUGUGAUGUUAACGUAUUAUCACUAUUAAUAAAUUAAACUUAGACUCCAUAGAAUAUAUAAAACAAUAAUAACAAUGAUAAAUUAAUUAUUCUACAAAAUGGUGUCGCAUCCACCAAUCUCCAUUUACUUCCUCUAACCAUUUUUUCCUCUGCAUGCUUGAAAUGGUUGCAAUGUAAGUAUAAAAUCUCCACUAUAAUCAUAUUUAUGCAUUAUUUUGAUUUACAAUAACUUAAUUAUUGUAUACUUAAAAGAAGUGUUAGAAUAAAAAUAUAUAUAGUUUGAGGUGCAUCCAAUCCCACCAAUUAGAGCCCAUGCAAGAAAUUUAUACAAUGAUUUUAUAUUUUAACUGUGUAAGGAAAUUUGAAAGUUUAAUAAUGUUAGGGUGUUAUGAAAGAAGCUUUGGUCAGCAACAUUCCAAAGGCAUUCAUUAAAUUCCAGCAAAUAAUGCUGAGAAAAAGAGAGUUUGUGAGUUAAAGAUGAGAAACCGUUUCAUUUUCAUAACAAUGGAUUCAUUCACAAUUCACAACUUGUUGCUAUAAAUACCAGGGAGUAGGAAGGGGAGAGCCAUCCGCAGAAGAAGAAGAUGAAGAUGAAUGCGAUAGUGGUGGCGGCGCUCGUGGUGACGGAGGUGCUGCUCAUGGGGGCUGCCAUUGACGCCCUGGAUGUGUGCGGUGUGUCGGUGACGGAUCUGAUGACGUGCAAGGCGGCGGUGACGCCUCCAUCGCCGUCGGAACCUUCGGACGAGUGCUGUUCGGUGGUUUCGAAAGUGGACAUGGAUUGCCUCUGCAAUUACAAGAAUUCUCCUCUCUUGCCUUCCUUGGGAAUCGAUCCUGAUCUCGCUCUUCAGCUCCCUGCCAAGUGCAAACUUGACAAGACUCCACCUUGUUAGCUCCUUCUCUUCCUUUUGUGAAACUUUACCAUUACCUCUAAUAAAUAAAUCAUUUUCUUCUUUUAUCAUUUCUUAACUAAAUCACACAUUUAACCUUUAAUUAAAUAUCAUUAAUUAAUUAAACGUGUUGGAAAUCUCAAUCGAAAUUACAACAUAUUAUAAUAUAUUAUAAUAUGUAAAUGUAUCUAAAUUUUAUGAGAUUAAAUUAGACUAUUUUUAAUAUAACAUCAGAAAUUUUUUGUUCAACUAAUCAGACAGGAAUUGCAGGUUAAAAAAAUAUCUCAAUAUAAAUAUGGAAUUAUUAUUUUUUUCAUAAUUAUUUAUAAACCAAAAUUAAUAUAUAUGUACUUACUCCCAGAAUAUUUUACAUUUAAUUUUUGCUAGUCAUCAAAAUAUAUACUGCAUUUACAGUAUAUUACAUAAAAAGUAAUAAAUCUAAUUUUUAAAAACAAGUCUAAUUCUACUAUAUUUUUCAAUAUCUAAUUUCGGUUGAGUUUUUAAUUAUUUUUAAUAUAUUCAAGAAACAUUUCAAUUUAUUAAAGAAAAUGACACGACUUUUAUUUGUUUUUACCAUGGAUUCCUAUACAAUUAAAAUUAUUAUUUUUAUAGAUAAUCACAAACUUAUCGUUUAUAUUUAAGGAAAAAUGUUGUAUUUAGCUAAUUCUUACCAUUUGUAAUCCAAUAGUAUUAAUAAAUCUUAUUCAAAGGUAAGUUAACUUUUAUUCCUAAAACUUUAUCAUUGUAUUCAUCACACCUUUUAAUUUAUUCAUCUUUCUUAUAUGUAUCUUCUCUCUCAACUUAUGCACACAAAAAUAUAAUAUUUUUUAAUAUUAAUAUGAUUAACAUUGAUGCCGAAUUACGUAAGUUUUCAUCGAUAAUAUUUGUUGUAUUUCAAAUAUGUACACAUUAAAUAGGCGAAAUACACUUUUUAAAAAUAGUUUGUAGUGUCUAUAUUUUAAUAUAAGAGUAUAUUUGAUUAAAAAAAUAAUUAAUUAAUAACAGUAUAGUGUAAAGCCACAGAGUAUCUAGAAUGUAGAAUGAUUUUGCAAGAGCAGAAAGAAGGAAGAAUAAAAAAAUAGAAUAGAUAGUUAUAGUUAUGGAAGAGAUGGAGGAAGGAAUGAAGUGUGUGUGCACCUGGAAACUCUCCUAACCCAAACCCAACUGCAUCUGCAUACAAGAGAGAGUGAGUGUGUGUGUAUGAAUCAGUGAGCAGUUCCCAGUUGCUACAAUGGAGUGUGUUCUAAACUUGGGGAGGGGGUUUGGAGGAGGGCGAGGACGAGGAGGAAGACGACUCUGGUUCAUAAUUCCAAAGGGUCUUUAGCUCACCUCUUUUGCUUCCCAAUACAAGAAUCACUCCUGUUCAUAUGUAUAAACAAUUUGGCAUCACAAAAGCUACCUAAAUCAUGAGAACCACAAAAUUAGUUACCUAGUGUGCACGGAACAAGGUAGAGGAGUGCAGGUUGUCCAUGACCGUUCAUCAUGUAUAGCCCCAGAUAUGUGAAGAACAGCCCUGAACACACCAAACAUACUCUAUACUUUAAUACCUUUGAAUCUAAAUCUAAAAUAAAUGUUUAAAUAAAAUGACCAACCCACAUGGGAAAUGUUAAGUUAACUCAUGUGAUGUGGAGGAGAAAUCUUUAAGCAGAUUUCCUAUGAUACCAGGAAAAUCAACUAAGCAACAGUUAUGAAGAAACAUUAUUCAACACAAACAUAUUACCUACUAACUUACCGAAGCCAUAGCCAAUCAUCAACCAAAGAAAAUAUCCGCUCACGACCCCCUUCUUAAGAUCUUUGUCGAAUCUGAGACAGUCCAAAGCCAUACAUAACAUACGUUGAAAACAAGGCUUCUUGUAAAGUAAGGUCGGUAUGGAAAAGAAGUUUAUAAAUCUUCACUUGUUAAAGUUUUUGACUAAAUAAGGAAUUCAAUACCUACGAGAAAAGGAAACAAGCAAACCAGGAAAGAGAAUAUCUCCAAAUCCAAUCAUAUCAUAGCCACCCCAAGGAUCAGCCAAGCGAGGAAAUCUCAAAAGCAUAGGAAUUGCUUCACCACCAGCCUUGUCACCUCGAGCAACCUACAAAAUAAAACUCAUCACUGUAGGACACCUUUUCACUGCAAAGAACAUAAGCAGUGAGGUGAGAAUUUCAUUUCAGCAGUGAGGUGAGAAUCGAAGGGCCUAUUUGAUUGCACUCAAUAAAAAUAGUCUUUAGUUUUUAGAAAUUAAAAUAAUGAAUUUAAAUAUAAAUUAAAAUUCUAAAAUUUUAUGAAUAAUUAGAUUAUUUAAAAUUAGAAAAUUUUAAAUUUCAAUUAGAAAGAAAGAAUUUGAAAUUCCUUAGUUUCUCAAAUCCAUGUGUCUUCUUUUUUAAAUUCUCUUAAUGAUUUUGGGUAGGAUGUCAUCUCACACCAAUAAAAUAACUACUUUUCAUUAAUUAGAUUUCUUUUAUUAAUACUAAAAGAUUUUUUAUUUUAUUUAAAUUAUUAGGAUUCUUUUGUUGCGGUAAAACACUUUUAUUUUUCUCUCUAUAUUAACAGGAUUUUCUCAAUCAAGAAGAUUAUUCUUUUGUCAAUGUCCAAAUGAUUAUUUUUUUAUCCAGCACUAGUGUACAUUAACUAAAAAAAAUAGCCCCAACUAUACCAGUAUGAACAAAGACUUACAGUAAUCAUGACACUCUUUUGGAAUAUCACUGGAGAUAUGAAUACCCAAAAAAUGUCGUAUACAAAUGCACAACAAAGUAGGACCGUUGCAACCUACGAUAUCAGAUUCAUAAAUAAAUUAUGAGAGAUGACAACAGAUAUUGGAACAAAACGAGAAAGGAAGUAACAGUUAUAAUAUAAACACAAGGAAGUCAUUAAGGUACCUUAAUAUUAGGCAACCGAGCCAUCUGUAAUACUGUUAUCAUCAAACAGAUGCCCUGUUAAGAAUAAAGCCGUAUGUCAAGCAAAUUGCAUACAACAAAAGCUCAAACAAACAGCUUAUCAUCGAUGAAUGACAAAACCCACUAUUGAGACAACAAACAAUUCUUUAGUGCAAUGCCUGAGAAAGCUCACUACGGAAUCAAAAGAGAGACCAGGUUUGUCUCAACAAGAAUACACAUUCACUCUACAAUGAUUAAGUGCAAAAAUAUAUGCAUCAUAUUUCUGUGGCUGAACAUGUGCUCUGAUGUGAGCAUUCAUACAUGUAUAUAUGUAGAUAAGUGACUGCAAUUAAAUGUGAGCAGAUUUUUUUAAAAAAAGGAACAUAUCAAUACUAGGCAGAUACAAAGCUGGAAACAGAAUGACAAUUGAAAGACUUGUGCCCACGUACUAGAAACUGGAACUCACAAGCAAAUCUUGCCCAAACCAAGAAAAUGAUUGGUGCCGAAAUACAACCCAUAAAACGGCAAAUGCCACGCUGAAUAGUAGCACUACCAGCGAGAAAAUAGAAACCUCUCCAAAUAAAGGUAAAUUCACAUUCUUCUGAGCACAAGCUCGACGUUUCCUGCCAAUAUAUUUGAGAAAAAACUUGAGAAAAUGAAGAGAUAUACAACAUGCAGAAAGAACAUUGAUUUCCCUUUUUACUAGAAGAGAGAAGAUAUUUUGUACCUUAAAGCGAGGGUUACAAUACAGUUGUGCAUCCCCUGAAUAUGGAAGCAAACUUCCAUUAAUGAAACGAGUAGUUUCAAACAAAUAAGGAAGAAAAAAAAGGAUCAAAUGCUUGUCAGCAGUUUAUAGGUAUUGUAGUUUCAAGUUUCAACUUUCUAAUAGAUCAACAUACCAGUUAAUGGAGAAGUGAAAGUACAGUCUAAUGUAUUUGUAAAAAAAUAAGUGAAUUUUAUUAGACAGAAUUAAAGAUAAAAUACAACUAGGGGGCAAACAAAAUAUCCUCCUAAGGACAAAAAAUAUACAAUGAGAAACAGACUCCAGAACAUAGAAACAAGCACGAGAUAAAUAAGUUUAGUCAACAGAAGUGAAUCAACAGUGUAUCACAUAAUUGAUUAAAGUGGCAUAUUUUAUCCUUUCCUGUAAAUGAGCCCUUAAGAAAAAGAAACUAAAAAAGUUGGUCUAAACACUAACUUUGUUAGUUAAAGCAAUUCUGUAUAAUUGAGUUCAACAUUUAUGUCAAGUAGUUCAGAAGUUUAACUGACAGAGGAAGUUGGCAUCCCUUUUCUACCAGGAUCUACCGUAUUUUUAGGUUAUCUUACAUUCUUUGGUUUGUGUAUGGUAAUGAUACGAGUAGUUGGGCUUGUAAAGCCUAUCUGGAUGCAGAUGUAUGGCUUGUACAACUAAAACAACCAUUUGGUUACAGAAAUAAUGUUUAUAAUGUUUUGACACUUAUCGCAACCUACUAUCAGGGGUAAUAGAGUCAUUAAAAAAAUAAACUUUUGUAUUUGUAAAGGAAAAGAGAGCAUGAAAAGUAAAACAGUGAAUGUAAGGUGGGUGUAAAAAUUUAUUGGACGAUAAAAUAUCAUGGUCCCACCAUAAUGAAAUAAUAUGAAGGAUUGGAUUGUAUGUUUAAAUGAAGUUAUCUCUAUAUCAUUACUUGAUAUUUUUUUAGCUAGAAGAUUAGGAGUAAAAUCCACGAAAAUGAGCUACCUUACCUCAAUACCACCAAUGCAGAAAAGUACAAUCAGCACCCAAAUAAACCAAGACGACAUGAAGAAGAACAGUAGCACAAGAAAAGUAGAGGCCGUAAUGACAAAUACGACAGCACCCUUUGUAUCUAUGUUAACUAUUUCCUCAGGUUCGUCUUUCCCUGCUUCAGACACAGCGCUCUAUAAAAAAAACAAUUUUAUGUUACAGACUAAUAAAGAUGUAUUAAAAUUGUAACAAGUAAACAAAAUGAAUGGAAGAAACCAUUCUCCAUGGCUCCAUUUAAUAGUUAACUGAUUGAAAGAUCACGGGCUAGCAAUACAGAAGGCAGUCAAAGAUAAAAGUAAACGUAGAUUAGAAGUUAGCACGGAAGCCAAGAUCAGUCUGUGGUUACUGGUUACAAAUGUCCCAUUCGAACAUUGUUGAAUAUCUGUUACUCACUGGAAGCACACCUUCGCAUCACUAUGAUUACUUCAGUUACAUUAAACAACGAUAAAAGUUCAUAAGAUCACAUUUGAGCAUAUAUCAUAGACAUUAAGGUAAAUAUAGGGUUGCAUGGAAAAACCUUGGGAGACAACUCAUUAUAGCGUUCAUCGAAUUGAUCAGGAGCAGUUAUAUCUGCCCAUAGUGAAGCACAUGCAACUGUUGCAACAGCCAUCAACCACAAAAAUGAAACCGAGUAGUCUACAACUGGGCGCGUUGGAGCAUAUGGCACAACCUCCACUGAAAUGAACAACUCCGAAUCAACCAUCAGUAAAUCAUUUGAAACAAACUUCGCAUCAAGCAGAAGAAAUGCACUUGAGAUUGAUAAAGAAAUGAUAUUUUUCUUUAAUCUUACUUAUUUAAUGCAUUUAUGUGAAUAAAUGAGCAUAUGUAUAGAAAUAACUUCUUGCAGUGCUAAAAAUUGGGUAUUUUACCAUUUACUGAAUGUUUAAUUAAUUAAUUCAUCACAGAAGUACGUGCUAGGCAACAUAAAAAGAAAGUCUAUGACUUUAGUAUGAAAUCGUACUCAAGUGCAAUUGAUGCCAACGGUGAGAUCACACCACGGACACUAGCUACAAGGAUUCUUGAUCAAAUGGGGAAACCAAGGAUUCUAUGUUGAAGUGGGUGAAUCAUACAACUUUUGAUAAGGAAAAACAUAGCAGAAAAGUCCUCUAUGUCUCAACUAGAACAAAAUAGUAAAAAUUUAAGUCAGGAGGAUAUUGACCCUCUAGGGAUCCUUCUUGUCACCUUGAGUAAGUCCUUUGAAUCAUGUUCCAGGACCAAGACGAGUAAGGAGCCGUUUGGUUUCGGAAAACACUUCCUAUUUUCAUUUCCUGUUUUCAUUUUCAUAUUUUUAGAUUUAAAAGACAUGUUUAGUUUGACUUUGUGUUCUUGAUUAAACAAUUUUCAACAAAAAAAUUUAAACUAUUUUCAACAAAAAAAUUUAAACUAUUUUAUAAAGUUAACAAAUGAAGUUUCAAUUAUGAUUAUACCUUUAUUAAUGAACAAUUUGUGAAUAAAUAAUUUUAUAUUAUAUAUCCUUGAUUAUAACAUUUUAGAUUGGAUUAUAAGUUGAACUUGGAGAUCAUAAAUUAUCAUGCAAAUUAUUUGCGUGUAUAAUUACCAUUUAUAUACCAUUUCACUAAAAUUUUGAAUAAUAAAUUCUUCAGAGUUUCAAAGGAUUAGAAAUUAAGAUUAUCUUAUGAUUUCCUCAAGGUUAAAUAUGAGGGUCUUAUGUUGUUUAGUGACAACAAUUCCGUUAUCAGCAUUACCCAUAACCGAACCCUGACAGAACAAAACACUUGGAAAUAAGUGAUAACUAAUACUUCAUCAAAGAGAAGUUGGAUGGAGGCAUUAUUGUUACAACACAUAUGACUCUAAGGCUCCAAGAGAUUGAUGUCUCGACACUGAGCCUUAUUCAUUUAUCAAGAGAAGUGUCCUAAAUAUCAUAGGAUAUCUAUAGAUGGUUUAUCUUUAGGAUAAUAUGGAAGAUCUAUAAGGAUAACCAUAUUAUUUAUCUUAAGAAUAUCAUGAGAUUUUAAUUUCGUUAUUUUUGUCAAUUCCAUGGUUAUUAAAACCAGACUAGUUUAAUCAGGACUGUGCGGUUCGUCAGAUCCUUAAAACAUUGGAUCGGUUAAAAACUGCGGUUUGGCAGUUCAACAAAAAUCAGGUGUGUCGUUUUGGGUCAGAUUUUUUCCUUUUCUUUUCCUUGAUCACGAUCUAAAAAUCACAGGAUCCUAAAUCAGGAAAUAGGAGCAUGACAUUUUCUCUUGACUCACUUCGGCUUACUUCCCUUCUAAUCACAACUUAUUUUUAAUAUAUUUCUUACAUGGAAAUCUCUCUUUUUUUGCAAUUUUUUUGGAAAUUCCACAAUAUUUAAAAGUAUAAACAAAUUAUAAUAUAUAAAUUAAUACAAAUCUCUGCUUUCAAAUCGGUUUUAUAAAAUUAAUUUAAAGUUAAAUUUCAAUUUCUUAAAAUCAUACAAGAGUCUUUCUAACCUUAUAAAUAUUAUGUUAUUUUUUAAAAUAUUUUUUAACAUUUUUUAAUAUUAUAUUAUAUUGUUAUAUUUAAGUCGUUCAACUACGCUAAUUAUUGGUUAUUUUUCUAUUUCUUUUGCCUUAUAAAAGGGAUACAAAAUUUUGUUUCUUUCAACUUACAACUAAGACAACAUCCGUUAAAUACGUACUUAUUAUUAGGAUUAUAUGUGCUAGAAAAUAACUUAUCUAGUUACUGUGUCCAAUGUUAGAUUUUAACUUCAUAGCUUAUCUCUGGUACCCUAUCAUAUUAUUAUUACAUGACAAAAUGAAAGAGAAGUAAAUACAAAACUCUUUCACAAAAGCACCAGUGGACAAACAAACUACAAAUACAAGUUUAAAAAAUCGAAGGACAGACCUUUCCUUUUAGAUGUCAAAAGUUUGUUGAGAGUGUCUCCUACUGACUUUGUUAUCUCCACAACCGGAAUUGAAAUAUUUACCGGAUUGUCCUUGGAGCAGUCCAUCUCAAAGAGUUCUGAUAUAAAAUAAACAGAUAAAUUUCAUAUUAAAAGCGUAAAAUAACAUAAAAAGUAAAAAAAAGUGCAGUAAAGGUAAGUUUAAGUUAGUGAAUUGUAAUUGUAAUGCUAACACAAUUAGUGGAAUCCUUUUUUCUGUAUGUAAUAGCCUCUACGGAUUUAAUAAAAACCAAUAAUGCAACAAUGCUUGUUAUCAUGGUUUCAUCUACAGGCUUCGGAUGAGCAAUGAGAUUGGAUUUCUUUUUAGAGCUAAUGUAUUGCCCUUUUCCAUGAUCAGUGAUCAUCCUCUUAUGUACAAUUUAUUAUGGAAACCAAUCUUUAACAAAAACUAGUGGGAAGUAAUAUUAGGAAAAACAAUGCAUACUGGUAUGAUAAACUACAUGAUUUAAUUUUGGGCUAUUGUCAGUGGAAAAUAUGAUCAAUCUAAAAUCUGGAGGUGUAACGUGAAGCCUUAUUAAUGUUUUAUAUAUCCAUGAAGAGUCCAAUUUCAGCAUGUAACAUAAUUCCACUUAUACAAAGCAAUACCAUUUAAUGUAUCUAAAGUGCCAAAAUUAGUCCAAUGAUAUUUCACUUUGUUGUUUAGUGACAUUGUCUCAUGUUUUAAUAUUUUAUAAAAUUGAGCUAUUUGCCUAUUUCAAGUACAAGACUCAUCAUUCCAUAAUAGCUUUCCUGAAAAAAAAAAUAAGCUCCUAAGCAUUAGAAUUUGUUCCUAUACAUCAUUAUAAACUUAAAAUCUUUAUCCAGGUUCCAAGAAAGCGACAAUAGUUGGCAAUCAGAGUUCAAGCUAUGCUUGUGAGCCCAGGUUUAGCCGUGCUACGUACUGUUUAUUAAACCCCGUGCUUAGAUUUUGAGUAUACUGCACAGCAUGCACGAAGAGAUUUCAGCCUAAAGAAAAAGCAUGCGAGCAACCAAGCUGACAAGUGAGUGGGGACGUUACCAGACUGACAAAUGACACCUUCUAUACGUCUAAUACACCUUCUUUAUUCAGAUUAAACACAAAAUAGAAACCUCGUGGUUGAAGUGCUAAAAUAUACCAUCGGCGUCGUUUAUCAUGAACACGGCAGCAGCACCACCGGACUGCGCGAAUGUAGCUUUAGUUGUGAAGUCACAAACGCCUCGUGCGCAGAGAGCUGCUAAUCCAGAUAACUGCAAAAUGGAGAAAUGCAGAAGCACACUACUUGAGGAAGCUGAUAUACGAUGAACAGAUUUCAAAAUACGAGCAUGAAAGUAAGAAAACAAACAAAGUUGGGGAAAACAGUUGAUGCAUGAUACGAAGGAAGGGGAACGAGAAAGAAACCUUUACGGUGGAAGCGGAACAGCAGUCCAAAGGAUCGGAAAUAACAGCGGGAACUUUGGUAGUUGGAUCAGCAUUGUCAGGCAAAUCGGAGCCAAAUUUUGCAGUCAUACCAUUGUACUCUUCAUCUUCCUUCCCAUCAAUCCAGCUCUGUAUCUUAACCUGCAAACACAUUGAUUAAUGUUAUUAAACAUGAGAGAGAGAAUUGAAGAAAUAGAUAAACGUAAGGAGGAGGAAUUACCAAUUGCGCAACGUGAUCGCAGUGGUCUUCAUCGGCGGCGGCGGCGGCGGCUAGGAAGGCGAAGGAGAAGAAGAGAAGGAGAAGAGCCGGCGGCAAAGAGGAGGAGGAGGGCAUUGUUGGUUAGGGGAAAAUUGAAACGGUUGGGUUAUGAUUGGUUAAAGGUUUAGUGUGUGCUGUGACGAUGAGAAGGACAUUGGUUCCUCUCCUCUCCCUCCCUCGGGAAUUUCGUGGCAUUUUGGGAUUCUGCAUUUUAAAAUACUCUUCCCUCCUCUCUCUUAGCCAACCGUUUCCACCUUCUCCACUUCAUCAUUCUAUAUCUUCUCCCUUUUCACAUUUUCCCAAACUUCACUCUCCACCGUCAAUCCCUUUUCUACACAUUUCAACAUUAUUAUUAGGAACACACAUUUUAUCAUCAUUAAUUUACUCAUCUUACCCUAAUUUUACUUUUUUUUAACCAAAUUUUUCAAUUUUAAAAUAAUUGUAAAUCUACCAGUAGUUGAACAUUGUCGGUGUCAGACACAUCGAAUACUGAUACUUGUAGGAUAUAUGUAUCUGCGAAGUGUCCAAUUAAAAAAUUAUUUGUUGUUUUGAUAUUUAUAGCACGCUAACACAAUUUUAAAAGGAAAAAACACAUUAAUUUUAUAAAAACUCAAAUUUAUGGUAUAAAUUUUGAUAAUGAUUAUAAAAAUAAGGAACAAAUCAUUUUGAACCAACUAUGAAAAACAUCUUUCUACUAAAACAAACUGAAAUAUAUUUAUGCACAUAAACAUUUAUUGUCAAUUUAUAUAAUUCAUAAUUACAUAAUAUAUAGAUUUGUGUCCCUAUGUUCUAUAUUUUAGAGAUUAUACGUAUCUCCGUAUCUGUGUCUGUACUACAUAAGUGUCGACCGACAUAACCAGAUUCAUUAAGUCCAAUAGAAGAUGAUUAACAACACCAAACAGUGAUUAAACAUUAAGUAAUACACUCUUAAUCCUGGUCUAAAACUCUAAUCUGAUUCAAUAAUAAAGGAUCCACAAUAAUAAUAUAAACAGUCACAAGUUUUGCAAAAAAUCAUCACGCAUUAAUUACACCAAAUAUCGAAUACUGAAAUCUGACUUAAACGUUAUAGUAUCUUUUGCGGGAAUGGAGAUUUUACAAAUGAGGAGACAUUAAAGCAUGAAGGGAUAUAAAAGUAAUUUUCUUUUUAUAUCUUACAAGAUGAAAAACAUAGAUCAGAAAUGUUGUAAGAGAAAAACAAAAUGGGAGUAUAAAAGCAUUGGGCGUUAAAAGCGGUUUGUGAUUGUUGUUGUGUUGAUUUUGAAGUCCAUGGCUCCCUCCAUGAGGAUCGUCUUCGGUCUUCUCACUUUCGUCACCGUCGGAAUGAUCAUAGGUAUCUCUUCUCUCUUCUCCGAUUUCUUCUUCUUCUUCUUCUUCACUCUCUUGCUCUUUCUUCUUCUCUCUCCCCCACUGCCCUAAAUCACCACACAUCUCAAUAAUCAUAUUUGAAUUACCACUCACAACUUUUCACUCUUCUCUUCCUCAAUUACAUUGCAGGUGCUCUCUCUCAGUUGGCCAUCAUACGAAAAUUGGAAGACUCAUACGGUAUCGGAUCCUACUUUUCUUCUCAUUUUCUACCCUCGUUCUCAAUAAUUAGCCACGAUAGGUGUGCCAGCACCCACCUUACGCAAAGUUAAAUUUUUUAUUACAUGGUGGAGUGCCAAGGAUUGUAGGCAUCUCUAACACCGUGCCAUCUACCAACCCCUUCAAAAGCUUAGGCUUUUAGCUGAUGCACAUUAAUGAUUUUCAAAUUUCUGCAUUGCUUCUUUAACGAGUUUAAAUGAAACAAAUAGGGGACUUGUUUUAGAGGGAUAUUUGACCUAGAUUUUUGUGUUUGAUUAUUUUUGUUAUGCUCUGUUAGCCUAACUGCUUCAUGCAGGCUCUGAUUCUUUGCCAUUUAGAAGAUUGCGUGAAGUCGAAGGUCAGGGUUACCUUCAAUUGCCAAGAGGUCAGUAAUAUUUUUGUUUUCUGCCUAUUUUAAUCUCUCUAGAGUGCUAGAUGCCUGCUAAGUUAGUUCCCUUUCCACCAUGUGCAAUGCUUUACCUAAAAAGUAAAAUGUACUACUGUAUUAAUCUUUUUUUUAUUCCUUGACUGACUUUCAAUCGUUUCAUUGUUGAGUCUUCUAGAUAUUGUAUUUGUUUUUUUUUUUCAAACUUUCUGUAAAACACAAAUAUCUUUGUUAUGAGUUACUCCAUCAGUGUAUUUUAGUUUUACAUAUUUUUUAAGUUGUCAAUAACUAGCAAUUUUCUUCAUUGGAGCUUCUUUUUCAACCAUUUCUUCUAAUUUUCAGGUAUUUCUUUUUGGAAUAAUGACAAGGAAGCAGAAGUGUUACGCCUUGGAUAUGUAUGUCCGUUGUCCUCCCUUUCUUCUGCUAAACUUUUCUAUUUACAUGUUUUCUCAGGCUCAUCCUCUAUGAUAGAAUCACAGACCUCAUGGUAAAAUAAAAUAGUAAAAUAUUAUUGCUUAUACAUUCGGUGUAAAGGUAUAAUUUUAACGCCUCAAAAAGGCAACAAGAUUAAAGUUCUCUUCUCUGUUCAAUUAAAUACUUGGUUAAAGAAUGCUUGACUGCACUCUGAGUGAUCAAUAUCUGUGUCAUUCUGUCUUAUAAUUUUACGUUUAAAGCCUAUGUCAGUCUGUGUUCCAGCUUGCGUUAGACUCAUUAAUUUAACCAUUGUCUGAAUAACCAGUUUAUUUUCUUUUUUCAGUGAAUUUCUUUUGCUUAUUCUCAUUUUUUUGAGAAAUGAAUAGAUUUGCAUGCUUAAAUUUUGAUUAUUAUUUCCGUCUGAUCCUCAAUUGUAGGUCAAACCCGAAGUGCUUAGCUGGUCUCCUCGGAUUAUUUUACUUCAUAACUUCUUGAGUUCAGAGGUUAGCUGUCCCUACUAAAUGCUGUUUUUCAUUAUUAAAAUGUUUCUUGAGGUCAAAUACCCGGCAAUUAACAGUACUUUUAAAGCAUUCUUCAGCUGAAUAAAAACUGCUGGUGGUGGCCAUAUGUAUGUAUUAAAAUUAUUUUAUCUUUACAGGAAUGUGAUUAUCUCAGGGCUAUAGCUCUCCCUCGCUUGCAUAUUUCAACUGUGGUUGAUACGAAAACUGGAAUGGUACAUUGGCAGUUUCUGUUGAAUUUCAAUUUGAUUGAUCAUAAUCAUCAAUACAUGCUACGGGAUGAGAUAGGGUUUAAGUUUCAUUAUGCCUAAGUGAAGUAUUGUCAGAUUCACCAUGGGAAAAUUUUAGUAUGUAUAAUGAAUUUGUCAUAAAAUACUAAAUGCCUUUUAGGAAGACAAUGUGCAUAUGCAUAUACAGGAGCUUGUUGUUUUGUUACAUUUGAACCUUCUAUAUUGUUGCAUUCUGUAUGCAACUACCUAACCAGCUCACUUUGUGACUGCGUUUUAAUUUCUUCUCUUUAAGAAUAAAUUAUAUUUUUGUAAACCACUAAAUGGUUUUUAUCUGAGGGUGGCAGGACCCUUCUCACAGAAAAUACCCAAUCCUGGGCUAGGAAAAAAUGAGUGAGAAGUUUUGAAACUUAAAAAAGAAGAAUUUUAUGCUUCAAAUGUAGAGCUUAAGUGAAGGGCUGUAUUUUAAGAUUAAAAGAAUUUUCUGUUGAUUUCACACAAUGGUCAAAUAGGUUAAAAACCACUAGAAGGAAACAAUUUAUCCUAAAAUUGCUUUUUGCUUUGCUUUCCUAUUAUACCAAUUUUCUGCUUAUCUGUGACAUCAUUUAUGUGUUACAUAUAAAACCACUUCAAGGAAUUUCGCUAAACACCUUGAAGAAAUAAAGAAAAGUUGUUAAGAUUAUAAACAGCUUUUGUUGAUUUCACACACUGGCUAAUAGGCUCCUAUAUCAUUCUUAGAAUAAGUUGAUUUUAUAUUCAGUGGUGGAUGUUGACCAAUAAUUUUGGGGAGACCAAAAUAAUAUAUUUAAACUAAGCAUAGUUUUAAUUUUUAAUCUCCAUGCAAAGCCGCUAGAGUCCAUUCUCCACACGUUGCAUAAUUGGAUUAAGAAGAAAAGGAAAUCCAUUUUAAAAUUAGUGUGGACACGUGGAAGUAGUAGGAUAUGGGGUCAUUUUCAUCUAUGAACAUGUAUUUCUUCAUUAAAUGUGAUAUUUCUGUCCAUAGGGAAUCAAGAGUGAAGUCAGAACCAGCUCUGGUAUGUUUUUGAAUCCUCAAGAGAGAAAAUAUCCUAUGGUACAAGUAAGUUAGCAAUUUUACUCUCCCCUCAAGUCUUUUACUUCAGUCAUUAAAGCAGUGUAAAAAACAUGGAGUGCACCAUCUGGUGUGACCAUAUUUUAUUGAGUAACUUUAACUGUACAGUCUGAUAAAAUAUGUUCACCUUGCUCAUCUAGGCAAUUGAAAAAAGAAUCUCUGUCUAUUCUCAAAUACCAGUUGAGAAUGGUGAGCUUAUGCAAGUCCUGAGGUGAGAAUAUGACUUAUUUUUUCUCUCUAUAUCUGAACAUGAGUGGGUUUGCUAGUAUUAAGGCUAACAUUUGCAGCAGCACAGGUACGAGAAGAAUCAAUAUUACAAACCUCAUCAUGACUAUUUUUCUGACACCGUAAGUUGUAUUUGCUCUUUUUUAAUUUUCAAAUUAUAGUCAACAUGCGAAUUUCCUUGAAGUGGCUUCUAUGAAACCCCAUUUGCAAUCUGUUAUGCCUUUUUUUUUUCGAGACAGUUCAACUUGAAGCGUGGUGGGCAGCGAAUAGCCACAAUGCUUAUGUAUUUGAGUGACAAUGUUGAAGGAGGAGAAACAUAUUUCCCAUCAGUAAGCUUCUUGUUUUCUGAAAUUUGUUAUUUAACUUAUUUUGGUAGUUGUUGUAUACUUUUUUUUGGAUUUUAUCUUUACCAUGGGAAAUAUGCUCAAUUUGUAACAUGCUACUACUAGCUAUCUAUUCGGUGUUAUGUGUUGGCUGUUAUAUCUGUCACUCAAAUUGGACAUUUUGACUAUAGUGAUGCUGUUGUUUAUAAUAAUACAAUAUGAUUCAGGCUGGUUCCGGUGAAUGUAGCUGUGGUGGGAAACUUGUCAAAGGGCUAUCUGUCAAACCAACUAAAGGAAAUGCGGUGCUUUUCUGGAGUAUGGUUAGUGCAAUUAAUUUGCUUAUUAUGGACGGUAUCCGUGUUAAUUAUGAAAUAGGAACAUCUAUUUCCUUAAUUGUUCUAGUACUUUUACGUGUCUUGAAGAUUGUGCUUUUUGGCCCCAGAGAUAGAAUAUAUAUCUUUGAUCAUCUGCAAGUGCAUGUGUCUUAACAAGUCAUAGAAUGACGAGUGGGGUACUGUUUCCCAAAGAUUGAUAAAGAGUCAAUUUUAUCUAAUAACCAAUUACUGCAGUACAAAACUACCAAACAAAUUAGUAUAAGCAUAAGAAGCAAAGAGUAACCAAAAAGUUUAAGUGAUAAAUUCAAGAAUACAAGAAUUAAUCCACUUUUUCUAUGUAGAAACAGUAUGUUUUACCCUUUUACCCAUUGGAAUACAUAUGCAAACACUGGUGCUUAAUAAGAUAAGCUUCUACCAUUACAUAUUGUUAAGAACCGGUGCUAGAUAGGAAGAACCAGUUUAAAAAUCAAGGGUAGAGAUGGCUUUAUAGGUUUUUAUAUAUAUAUUUUUUCAAUUUAUACUCAUCAUUAGGAUUUAGCUGGUUUAUGAAUUGGUACUUUUGUGAUAGAAAAUGUGAAUGGUGAAUGUAACUGUUAGUGUUGAUCUUGGCAGGGACUGGAUGGUCAAUCAGAUCCGAACAGUGUGCAUGGAGGAUGUGAGGUAAUGUCUGGGGAGAAGUGGUCAGCUACGAAGUGGAUGAGGCAGACCACUCACGUUUGAAAAAAAAAAAUAGCAAUUGGAUCUUGUCCUUAUAAAAGAAUAGUGAUUAAGAAUAGUUAUUGAUAUUAGAAAUAUUUGAUAGUGUUAAUCUUAAAUCAAUAAACUGCAGCACCGUAGUCUGAUAUUAUAGAUGCCCCAGGUAUGGUUUUACGGGGUUUCCAAAGAUAAAUACAUAUCCUCAUUUAUUCAACUUUCUGUUUUACAUUUCCUUUCUCACUCAGGUAAAGAUUUCAUUCAAAUAUUUGUAAAUGGACAAAUCUUUUGGCACUUGUAUUCUUUUUAUCCACCUUCAUGAUAUAAAUUUCACACUUUAAUGAAACCAAUCUUUAGAAUCUAACUAUCUCAUCAAACCAUUCUACACUCAACCAAUAAAAAAGAUCAGUGUAUAUGGAUUUUAUAGUUGUAAAAUCAACAAUUUUAUCAUACAUGUGUUCUGCGUUUAAUUUCACCAAACGUUAUUCUAUAUAGCCUUUGAAAUUUUGACGAGAAAAACUCAUUUUAACCAGUUUACACUUUUAAAUAAAUUGAAUUCAAAUUCUUAAGUCUUUUCAAUUUCUAAUUCCUAUUAUUUUUACUUAUCACUCAAAUUUACAUACACUUACAAAAAGGUUUUAUUUAAAAUUGAGUAAAUUAAAUGUUAAAUAUGGUAGGACAAUUUCUUCGCAAACUUGUCUUCAAAUUUUCCUCCUUAUUUUUAAAUUCACUCCUAAACUAUUAAGCAUUCCAUUAAUAACAAUAAUAUAGACAAAUAAAGCAGCUUAUCAGUAGUUUACUUAGAUUAGAAGUGUGUUUGUAUAUAUGUAUCUCCACCACUUACAACAAAAAUGUCACUCUUCCAUGCUCAAAACCAACGCCAUUCCGUUCAUAAUAAGAUAAAUGGAAUUGUAAAAAAAUAAUAAACUUUCUGAAUACAAGCCUAAAUCAAACCAUGAGAUGUUACGUAUCAGCAACUGUAUGCCCUUUUUUAUGUUUGCCCUUUAAACCAACACCCGCCUGGUACCCAUAGAGACAAAUACGCAGACCACCCUUUAUCAUCGCUUCAUAAAAAUAGUUCUUGAAAACCUCCAUGAAUUCAUCCCUGUCACAGUACCAUCAUCAUCAGCUUCUAAAUUUAUGCAAAAUCUUACAAGAGAGACCACACCGCUACUUUUAACAAAUAUAAAUUGUUUAUGUAUAUAGAUAGAACCCAUGACCAACCUGACUUGUGGAAGGGUCAACAACGAAUACCCCUUUACAUCAGGAUGCAUAUCUAGCACCAGUACUUGCAACCUUGAAAGGUCUAACGCCUCAGCAUCAAUUAGCUUCUUUAUCCUGAAAUUGCGUAUCACAAUAAUUACGUCACCAAAAGUUUAACAAAAGGUAUAUCUAAUCAGAUGUUUGGUCAGAAAGAACAAUUUUCUUUAGUAGAAGGACGUGGGAUCACCAACCUGCUUGGAGUGCCGCUAGCAAUGUUAACACGGUUUUUUAACAAAGAAAUCUGCAUUGAUCAUAAAACAAAAUCAAUGGAGCAAUGCUUCCACGAAGAAGAAUAAGAAGAAUCACAAUUUAUAACAUGAACCAAGGGAAGGAAAAAUCAUGCAGCGGUGAAGAACAAAACAUUAAAUUUAAAUGCACAGAAGUAAAUUCACUUUUUUAGAGUCCAAGAAAAGGGGUUUAGAUUUCAAGUUUUUAAAAUUAAAAACGGAGUAAUUUGGUCCCUCAGCCGCAUGCCGAUGAAUUUUUGUCUGGUUUCACAACUGGUACAAGUUGAAGUGGAAGGAUGCAGAAAACAAGAGAGAGCAGAAGUAAUGCAUAGUUGAAUUGACAAAAUCAUUAUACUUGUCCUAUCAAACCAGAGCCAUAGCUCCCACAAUAUGCUACUCUCAGUCACAGAAACACAGAAACACAAGUUAUCUUGCCCGUAAAAUUUGUAAAUAAGUGAGUGAGUGUUUGACGAAAAUGAAAAUCAACAAAUAAAUGAAGGUUAAGAGCACAGAACAGAAAGACAGUUGAAUGAGUUGAUGGUGAUUGGUUUAGGGUUUGUUAGGGUUUAGGGUUGUACCUGUUCCGGAAGCUUAACGUGCUUGGCGAAUAGCUUUGCAGCGUGGCAUUGUUUAGUGAAAGAGCGAAAGCCCCUGCAGAACGAAAUUAGGGUUUUAGCAUGUAAAAGGAAUUAUAAAGGGAGAUAACGAGAGAGAGAGAGAGAGAGAGAGAGAGAGAGAGAGAGAAGAAGAAGAACCUGAGAAGGUCUAUGCAUCUUAGGGCAGAGGAAGUCACGAUCAGAACCGCGGGACUUCCGGCGUUAACUUUUCCCUCAACCACACUCCCUUCGCAGAGAUGCUCCCUCCAUGCGCCGCCAAACGCCGCCUUAACAGUUUUCCCCAAUGUUUGGACAUCACACUGAUUUGGUACCUCCAGAAUGCAGUCUUCUCUGAGAGACUCCAACUCCAGCGAUGAAAGCUGAAGACCCAUCGCCGACUCAAGGACGCGCAAAGGCUCCGACGAAGGUUCAUCGGACUUCUCUUCUUCCACCUCUUUCGCCUCCUCCUUCUUCUUCUUCUUCUUCUUCCCAAUAUCACACUCAGUUUUUCUCUUUCUCUUUUCCGACGCCAUUCCAACCUUUCUCUCCUCUUCUUCUUUCUCUCAGCCCUAUAUAUAUUAUUAUUCACCUUUCUUUUUCACACACUUUUUUUUAUCUUUCCCAACCCCUAAUUUUCAUUAUGGGCCCAAUCAACAUUAUUACUAAUCAAACUCCUCCUUUUUUUUCUUAUAAAAACAAUACAAUUGAAUCCAACACAAAAUAAAUUAUUAUAUACACAAUUACUCUCUUUUAUCUUCAUUUCGAAAAUAAAUUAUACGGAACAUUAUUUUUCAGUUAUAUAUUAUACAGCAUCAAUCAUUAGAAACAGUUAUAUAUUGCAACUAUAUUAUUCUUUAUACAUUUAUAUUAUAUAAGCAGAUGAACAUUUAUCCAUAAUAGUCAACGUUCUUUAAAAAUAUUUAUAUGUUGUUUUGAUAUUUAAUAAUUAAUUUUAUGAGAAUUUUUAAAUUCAAUUAAUUAAAUUGUGAAUUAAUUUUAUUAUAUAUAUAUAUUAAAACGGUAUGGGGAAAAUAUUACAUUAUUUGCAGUUAAUUAUUCAAAUAAAUUAUUAUUUUUUUAAAUAUUUUUAUAAUAUAAUUUCCAAUUUUACAAAAUAAAAGUUUAUAAUUAAUCAUCUUUCAAUUUUUAUUAUAUUAAUUCUUAUUAAAUUUUAAUUAAGAAUAUAAUUCAAUUAAUUAAUUUUUUAUUUUGUCAGAUCAAUCUCAUCAACUAUAAUUUAUUUGUUUAUUUUUCUUUUCACUUCCUCUUCCAUCUAAAUAUUUAAAAAAAAAAAAAUCAUAAAACUCAAAACUACACAAUAUCUUAAAUGCUAAAAUGUUUAGGAGGAGGGAGAGUUGAGGUAAGGAUAUAAUAGUAAAUUAAUGUGAAUUUUAUUUUGUCAACUUUUGUGUGUGAAAGUGAUGGUUGUUUUAAAAAUCAAAACAAUCUCUUGUAAUGGGAUCAAAUUGAUGAUUGUUCAACAAGGGAUGUAAGUGGACAAAAAGAUAAACAACUACCCCAUGUUUGCAUAGCUCAUGAUAGUGCCCAUCUAUCAAUAUCUGAAUUACAAAUUAUUUAGAGCAACACAAAGAGAACAACUUUAUUAGAUGCAGAUAUGAUUCUUCAAAAAGAAAGAGAGGGGGAACUAUACCAUGUUUUUCUUUUCUCAGAAAUCUCACAUGGAAUAAAAAUUAACAAUCAUACUGAUAAGAAAUUUCUGUACAAAUUAAAGUUGACUUGUAUAAUAUUCUUAAAAUAAGAAUUGAGAUAUGAUAUAUGAAAAAAAUUAUAAAUUAAUUUUAUCUGAUGAAAAUAUCUUCGUGUACUUCAAAACAGAGAUCCCACUGAAGUUACCUUUCAGAACUUUUAGGCAAUGAAUCAUUCCUUUUUCGGCAGAAGAUGUCACAGAUAAAAAUAGUCAUUGCAUACAGAAGAAAAUAACUCUAAAACAUUUUUCUAACAUGAAUGUACAAUUUUUCUUUGACAUUGGUUAUAAACUUCUACAGUAAUUCAUCAAACAUAAAAAUGAACCGAAACAAAAUAGAUUUCAUUCCUAAUUGGAUCAAUUUUAGAACAGGAUUGGAAGUAUCAUUCUCUAAUUCAUCCCAUUCUCACUUCUAUUAUGGUUCUGAUUCCAAAAAUUAAAUUAAUCACUCAUUGUACCAUACUUACCCAGACAAAGGAAUAAACAACCUCCAAAGAAAAUCAACCUGGACUUUAAAAGGCAAUUCUUGAAGAAAACGAACAAAUUUUCCUAGACUACCAUAUUACAACAUACACUGUACAAUUGUAGAAUUGACAAUCUACAGCGUCCGUUUCCUUCAUUAUUCAUUUAAGUUGGUUGGUACAAAAUCAGUUUUCCUGCUUUGUCAUCAAAACCUUGACUUCUACGCACGUUUGCAUAGAAUCUGGUAAAACAAAAUAAGUUAUUUGCUUUGUGCGCAUCCGCAACUGCAAUUCUCAAGUUCUUUGUGAAGCUUCUGAAAGAGGGUAAAAAAAAUUUGUUAUCAAAACCAGCAGUUAACUAAUGCCUGAAUUAUUCUGUGCAAUUCUUAUCCUUCAUAAGUAAAAUUCUUUAUAAUACAGAUAAGUAAUACAAUUCAGGAAUCAUGAUUAAGGAGACAACAAUCUACUCAGUUAGGAAACUCAACGUGACUUUUCACAUCCAGUCCUUUCUUAUUCUACUUUAAAAAAAAUUACAGCUUCAACUUAGCUUGUACUUGGAGUGCGACAGAAAUAUCAUAUUGAUAAAACAAAAUUACAAAAUUAUACAAGUUAUGAAGGUUGGUUGUAUGAAUAUAAUUUUCAAUAAAGGAUGAUGCUACACAUAAAUAAAUUAUGUACAGAUAAAUAUUGAUUAAGAGGAGUAAUGUAAUAGAAAGAGAUAAAGUAAUAGUAAAUAUUGGAUUUUGAAGUGAUUCUAACUAAGAUGUCAGCCUAAUGUCUAUCUAAAAUGUCAAAAUUUAUAGUGAUGUUUAAUAUGACUUUUUUUUUAUAAAAAAAAUAAUAGUAAAUAACAAACAAUUAGUCAAAAGGACUAAACCUCUAUAGUAAGACGGUUCAUGAAAUUAAUAAAAUAGCAAUUUUAUCCCUGAAAAUGUACAUUAUCUAUAAAUUUAGUCUUCCAAAUUGUAAUAGAAGGUAAAACUAAUUCUUGAAAUAAAUAAAAUGAAAAGUCCUUAAAAUUUUAAAUUACCAAUCAAUUUAGUCUUUCAAAUUGUAUAAGAUAAACCCAACCUUAUGCUUAAAUUCAUUUUUUACCCUUAUCUAGGUUUAUAUUUCGCUAGUAAAUUAAAAAGAAUUAAGUACAAUUAAAUAUCUAUACUUAGGAGUUGAUUUGUUUUACCAUUAUAAUUUUAAAGACUAGAUUAAUUGGUAAUUAAUUUUUAAGGAUCAUACUAUCUUUUAUCUUUCACAUAUCAAUUUGACCAUCUAUUAUGUUUUAAAGGACUAAAUUGAUAAAUGUACAAUUUCAAGGACUGGCUUACUAUUUUAUUCUAUUACUUUUAAAGAACAAUUUAAAAGAUUAUUACCGUUUUAAAUAAUGCAUUAGUAGUCUCCUCUUGUAAAAAGUGUAGUAAAGGCUUGUUGUUAGUGUAUUACAGCUUAUGGUAAAUAUAAAAUAUUACAGUGCCCAGUAUGCAACAAAAAGAUCAUUAUGCGAGGUUAUCCUUGAUGAAACCAGCUGGCUGACAUACACAUUCUGUUUUAAGUGUACACUUAACUAUCAAUGAACAUUGACAUUGCACACUGGGUAUUGACUAUAGCAAGUUAAUACCAUUGAGAUUGCAAAGAUUAGCACCGUCACAAUUUUGUCUUUGUCUUUGGUCUUGACUCCCAAAUGAAGACUUUUCAAGGCAACUUUUGACAGAGUCACUUCAACGUCGACAAUCUUCGAAUGUAGUAGUGAUCCAAACGAUGUUCAAGGACUUAGAGGUCCGAACAGCAAGGGAAGUUAAAACUAGUUUACCAUGUUCCAUUGCCCCUCGUAAAAAGACAAAGUUGUUGAAGUUUGUAUAACUAUCCAAGGAAAGAAAGUGACUGUCUGAAUCCUAUUGGAGCAAUAGUGCGAUUCCGGCAGCUUUGGAGAAGGGAGAAGAGUUAAGGGGUUGAGACUGGGAUUAUUGGCUCCGGGGAUGGAAAACUAUUAAUUCUGACAACUUGUAUAAGACGUGUUGCACGCGCAAGACAUGGAAGAAUGGAGAAUAACUCAGGUAGUCAGAAGCAUUAGCCCUAGCCAAGGUAGAAGAGAGAGUAUGAAGUUGGGCUAUAAUGAUUUUGUUGUGUUCCUUUGCAAUCAGAAACUUUGUUUAUUUAAGAUAUGGUUUAUGUUAGUUGAUUUAGUAUGUUAUAGAAGGCAGUGGUGAUUGGCUGACGGGUUAAUGAUGAUGGCUAGAGGUAUUUGGCUUGCCAGUGUGGAAAGGUGCUUACCACGUGAAAAAAAAGAGCGUUGUUUGAAGUGGCCAGAUAGCAUGGCAAGCUCAAGGGAAGACAGUAACAUUGCCCUAUAUCAACAAGUUGUUUGUUUUUCAAGAGCUUACGCACGUUUUAUUCCUAAGCUUGAUAUUGCACUAUUUUUCCAUCAGCAGCCGAGGAAUCUCCAGGCCUCACAACCAUUACCAAUUUUUUUGGAUUCUACAGGGAAAUUAAUUGGUGGAGACGUCUGAUAUGAAAUUCCUACGACGAAGAAAUUGGGGAUGCAUUUGGUCAUGUAUGUUGGGACGAUUUAUCAGACAGAAAGUGGCCCUCUCUCGCAUUUCAGUCAAGGGGUCAGAUUUAUGUUUGAUACGCACAGGUUAAAGCAUUCAGUGUUUCUGCCUUCUAAUGGGCUCUAGAACUUGUUAAUACGCUACAUUUUCCUCUAGCAAUUAAUUUAUAGAUUACUUAAUUUGAAUAUUUCUUCUAAAAGUAACAACAACUCCACUAAGAUCCCAUCAAUAGUUCAGAUUCAUCCAGUAAUUAGCAUUUAAUGAAGGACAAGUUCACUUAAUACUCCUCAUCCACAAGGGGUUGGUAAAAAGCCUAACACCACAAUAGAGAUAGACAUAUAAUCUGAAUAGCAGAUUCAUAUAUCGGAAGCAUUUAAUUCAUAAUUCAUGAACAGGCAUGGGAGUGAAAAGUAUUGGAGAGGGAAGGGUAGUUUUACAGACCUGAACCUGUGUUUGAAGACCUUUAAUAUGCUGAACGGCCAAAUCAAGCAUGUCUGCAUAGCUUGUUUGCUACAACGAAUAUUGAAACAAGAUUAAGAGAUAAGUAAGAGAGAGUGGUUUGACAUAGCAAAAGAAGGAGGCAGAAAUAGAAACAAUACCUUAUCCAUAUUAGGUACAAGGUCCUGCAAUUUCUUGAGCUUUCCACUUAUUCUGGUUCUUCUCUCCUGCGUGUUGAAUUGGACGGAAUUGAAUAGAAGAAGGAGGAAUGAAUGAGAGUGAAAAAGGUAGGAGUAGGUGAGUAAUUACCCGCUCUGCAAUGCUGCGGGGAUGAGUAGCGCAGCCUCGCUUAGCGCGGAUUUUGCAAGGGACGGAAUCUUCAGGAAUGUGCAGGAGCUUCUCAACCGUCGCCAUUUCGAGAGUGGUCUGAGGAAGACUGAACUGAGACUCCAAGGCGUUGAGGCAAUGGAGAAUGUCUUGAUCGGCGGAGUUGGAGUUUUUGGAGCGCUUCGGCGGGGGAGUGGAAAAGGCGAUGGAAUUGGAAUGAGAAUGAGAACCGUCCCACGGCUCCAUUCCGAAGCCGGCAUGGUCGCCGAGCACCAAAUUGUUACUGUUAUCGCCGCCACACAGAGAUUCUUGGCAGUGACCCGUGAAGCUCAACUGCGACUUCAACCGAGAGCCCCGCGUGAUGGUGAACCCCGCGCCUGCGUCGCGUUCGGCAAAAAUCAACCACGUGGACAGACAACUGGGCCGGGCCCGCGUGGGCCCGGCCCAAAAGGAUCAUUUAGAGUAAUAAUAAUAAUAAUAAUUCAGGAAGAGUAAGUUAGUUACCAUUGAGCGUGUGGUUGUGGUUAUGGUUGGUGGUGGCGGCGGCGAGGUGGGAGAGGAAGCCGGCGGGAGAGCUUUUUUGACGGAGUAAGGCGGAUCCGAGGGCGUGGUUGUGAUACGAUGUUUGGUCCUUGCUGGUGGAGUCGGGAGAGUCUCCUCCGGAAUAGUAAGGGGUGGGGUUGGGGCGUGAUCCUCCGAUGAGGGCGUCGACGGUGGUGGUGAGGAGAGAGCCGGGAGCGGAGCCGUAGCGCGUGAGGCCGGUAGGCGCGUGGCUCAUGGAUUGAGAGGAGGAGGAGGAGGAAGAGGAGGAGGAGGAGGGAUACAUGGAGGAGAAAGCAGAAGAAAGCAGAAGAAGAAGGUUUGGUUUGGUUGGGUUAGAAAAAGAAGGUGCAAUAAGCAAUUUAGAUAGAGAUAGAUGCGAUGGCAUUGGUGGGUGUAUGCCACUUGUGGAAUACUUUAAGGCUGCAUCAGCAUUCUGCAAUUGUAUUGGCUCAGUGCCAUUUGGGUCACGUGCCACUUUUUUUUCAACCACGUCCCCAUUCAUGGAAUCAGAAUCUUUUCAUUCCUUCUCCCUUCUUUUUUUUUCUCAAUCUUUAUAUUUCGAAUCAAUGGAUGAUUUGAAUUCUGAUUGCUGCACUUAACGGGUACGGGUUCGGGUACGGAUACGGGUACGGGUAUGGGUUUCGCUCUCAGAAACCUGAGAUGGUUGAGCUUGGUGGUCGGAGUUUCCAACAUGGCGGUGCUUCUCAUGGGUGCCUUCCUCAUCUUCCAAAUUCACCUCCUCUGCCAAGGCCGCUUCGCCGUUCCAUUCCUCCUCGUCUCCCUCGCCGCUCCCAUUAGGGUUGUGGUCAUGUUCCACACCGCAUUCGCCCAGCAAGCCGCUGCCACCCUCAUUCUUCAGGACUCCAACGAUCUCCUCACGCGCUUCCGCAGACGGGUGGGUAAUCCCAUCUCCUCCUCUUUUUUUCAAUCUUCAUUUUCUCAUCAAUCAAUCAACAGGCCAUGUACAAGAAAUGGCUCUGCUGGAGUCGAUCUUCCGCCGUCGUUAUCGUCCUUCAAUUUCUCCUUGCGCUUUACCUUGUUCUCCACUCUAUGCGCCAUUUCACCUCCAACAAUCAUUGUCUUUUAGGUAGGUGAGUCAGUUCAGGAACCCACUCUUCUCCAUCCUUCUUUCAGCCCGUUCAUCCUUCAAUCUUAACCAUUCAAAUGCAGAUUCCCCGUGGAACAGCACCUGUUUAUCCGUAUUCAUCAUCCUCGUCUCUUUCGUUGCCGUACUCCAGUGCUUCACGGGAUCCGAUGUUAUCAAAUGGAGGUCUUUCUAUGAAACCCAUGAUCACGCUUGGAAAUGCCACUAUGUCGAGGUCUUCGAUAAUGGCAUACGUGAGACCUUGUGUUGUCUGGGCCGGGUCAAAUAUUUGUAUACACCUAUUACUUGACCUUACCUACGCACAAUGUUUAUCACUCUAUCUUACCUCUGCUCCUUUUAUAACUAACACAGGGGUGCAGCCGAAGAAGAUGAAGUCUAUUCAGUUGCACGAUUACUGGGUGAUCUUGUUGCUUAUCGUGCUUCCGGAACUGGCCAUUUGGAACUCUUGGCAGGUUUCUUCUAAUUUUUUAUCUCAAACUUGUUGCCUUUUUAUGCUUUAUAUGUCAUACAAUUAGGAUGACGUGGCAUAUUAGUGCAAUAAUGUUGACCCCGCCAAUUUUUCAUUAGGAAUACAGCCUGAACCAAUUUAGUUUCACCUGCAUGUUAGCUCUUUGUAAUUUUAUGACAUUGAGUUUUUGUUGUUCAGCUUUAGCUUUACUUCAAAGCCAUGAAAAAUCUACAGAAUCCUAUGAAGGAUCCAUGGAAGCGCCAGAGAUGCGAAUUAGGGAGGCUGAAGCUCUUCAUAAAUUUGCUGAAGCUGCAUACACAGUAUUACUAUAAUAAACUAAUUCUAAAUUAAUGUUUUGUUUUUACUAAAUUGUUUUGAGCAUUUAUUUUGCAUUCAAUGAUGAAUACAGGGUCCAUUGCUUGAUGUUGGACGAAAUCCAUUAUUAUUUCCUUGUGCGUGGCUGUAUAGACAAGGGAUUUUGUCUCCUUGGACCCGAAACAGGUGGCAUUUUGUUUCGAUAUUCUGUUUUAAGGUCUUUAUAAUCGAAUUCUUACUUUGUCAGUAGCACGAGCUUUUUAAUGUGAGUGCUAUUGGUUGAGUAUUAUACCUUUGAGGUCAAGGUGGUCUUGAUACUUGUUCUUUGUUGUAACUUCGAAAUGAUAUAUAAACUUCAAACUGUAUAUUGCUUAUCAAUGCAAGGUGUGUGGAGGGUUGUACUUUCUCCGGUUUGACUGAUCCUCAAGUUUUUCCUUUCCAUUCAGUGUCUCUAAAGUGAUGCUUUCCCCUCAUCUUUAUAGCUUUUUCCUUAUCUCUGUUGAUAUUUCUUUCAUCUUAAGAAAUGAAAAAAAUUAUUAUUUCCUUGUAGUUUGAUUUAUUAAAUUGAUACAAAAUAUGAUGUAUCCAAAUAUGUUAGCUUGCUAGAAAAGUUUAAGUUCGUAUGAACCGUUGUGUACUCAUUUUGUUUAUUGGAAAUUUUGAUAGAAGAGUCAAAAUUGUGUUUCUUGAUUUUAGUUCUGGGAAGGGAGUCACUUCCACUUUUGAGGUCUAUGAUUUUUUUGUGCCUUGCAACGUUGAACAAUUUCAUGAAUCAUGAAACAAAAACAUUAUAGUCAAAGUUCUUAUGUUAGUGGUGAAUCUUCAACAACAAAGUAAAUGUGAAGAACGAAGAAUAGUGAAUGACUGAAUUGGGAAAGGAGAGGCUAAAAGAAUAUGCGAACAAAAGAAGAAAUGGCUGAUGAUGUACUUGCUUUUACUCAAUUACCACUGUGCAUGCCCGAGUGUUUACAAUAGAAGUUUCUGAAUGGUUGUUGAUAUUUUUAUUUAGAACUUAUUGGCGCUCAGGCAUAUUGAUUUAUAUAUCUUUGGUUUUCCUGUAUUCUGUGUCUCCAUGUCUCCCUUUCCGUUACAUCUUUUUCAACUUACAAAUUAAAAAGUUUCAUCUUCGACAUUGUGAUUUCAUGUUCCUGUUUCUUAUCUUCUUAGACGACCUGUAUUGGAUGGUGAUAACUGGUGGCGAGGUCAUGCUGCGGCCUUUCUAAAGUACAUCAAUUUGCCUCCAGAAGUGCUUAGACAUGGACGAGUCAGCCAGGUUAGACGUGGAAACGAAUAAAGUUCUGUACAAAAACAUUUUAAUAAAGUAUAGAGGGCAAGAUGGACAUGAAUAUCUGUAAUAAUAAAUAACAUUGUCUAAAAUAUGUUGCCUCCAUUUAUGUUGUAAUUUUAGUUACGGGAGCCCAUCAUCAAUAACAGAAUACUCACCAAAAAAGGUAGAUGUCACGAACCAACAAUAGUAUGAUUAUUUUGUUUAGUUUGAUCAUGUGAUCGAUGGAGAAUUUUCAGAACUUCAAUUUAUUUUAAAAUUUCCUUUCCAAACUAUAUAUUUUGUCAUUAAACAUUCAAAAUUUUAUAUAAAGUUGAAUUACCCUCUAAAUAUCCUCAUCCAAACACACUAUUAGGUUUUGUUAAAAUCAAGGAAGGGAAGACUUUAUAGCAAAUUAUGUCCUCUAUUUUGUGUUAAGCCCAUUCCCUCUCCAAAGCCGUUUCCCUUAAUAUAUAUUGAAGUCAGCACGCUCGUUUGUGUGUUUGCUAAGCAUGAUAUUGUAUAUGCUAUUUUUUUGGUCAUUUAUCUUUCCUCCAUUCAAAUAUCUCUAAUCUCUCAAAGUGUGUAAAAUAAAUUCGAUUGAGAGUGGCUUUUUGGAGCAUACUCGAUCUUCUUUUGCAAUCUUAGUUUAAGAAAGCUUGCUCAUUAGGCUAGUCAUAUCUCAUUUAUUGAAUGCAAUGUUUCUUUGUAAAGUGGGUUUUUACUUUUUAACAUACUAAUUUGAUAAAUAUGAACAUAACAAAUGAACUGGUAAGUAUAGAUUUAUUUAUGAACUUAUGUAGAUUUUGGUUUGAUCAGGGGGCUACUUUACGUACAAUGUAAACUGACUGACUACCCCAUUUUUCUUUUCAUUUGAACUCAUCAGUCUAUGUCCUUGUAUUUUGAUUCCUAAUGGUUGUAAAUUUUUAAUUUUAAAAUGUGGCGAAACUCAGCUCUAUCCAACUUGAGAUGAUAAUAUACUAAAUUUAUGUAUGAUUUAUGAAUAUUUCUGUUUUUAUACUAUACUGGCUUAAUUUAUAUUUAAUUAUUUAGAUACCCAUGCCAGGUCAAGUGUCAAGCUGCAUAUUUUGUUGUGGUUCUACAUCAUCUACAAACUGUAGUAAUUGCUAUACGUGGAACUGAAACCCCAGAGGACCUAAUAACUGAUGGGUUAUGCAAGGAAUGCUCCCUUUCUGUAGAUGACUUGGCUGGCUUGAUCAAGUAUUUUUCAUUCUUCCUCCUUUUGUCCCCUCUGAGCAUUUUCACAAACAAGUAGAUAACCCUAGGGUGGUGGUGAAACGUUGCUAAGAAUUCCCAAUUAAUUCAAUUCAUUGAUAAAAUUCACACAGGUUGUAAACAUUGUAAUACACUAGUACCUACAGCUCAUAACACAUAUACUGAAUGUACAUACAAGGUUUCCUUGAAAAGGUGACGGGGUGAAAGAGUCCAAUAACAAUUGCUUUCAACUUUCUUUUUAAUGUCAGUUUAUCAGCAUCUAUCCUUAUAUCCUGUUUGGGUUAUGAUAGAAAGAUGAUUACUUUGUUGGCAAAUGCUGUGUUGUUGAAUAGUACAUGUAUACCGAUGCUAAUGAGUAAUGACAUCCCUAUUAGUUAUAAACUGUUUAUAAACAAAGGCUAAUGAGUAAUGACAUCCCUAUUGAGUUACUUUUAUCUGCAGAAAUCAUCUUCUCUAUAUACCUUAUAGUUUCAGUUCCAAUGUGUAAUAGUUUUAUAUGGGCCAAGCUGUAUAGAUCCUUUCUAUGGUCCAACACAAUAUUCUGGUCCCUCACUUCAAUAUUUUAUGUUCUGUUUGCAGUUGCAACUACAUUCAUUAUGAUAUAAAGAAAAAUGUGGCUUCAUCAUUCCCCCACUAUGGGCAUUCAGGCAUAGUUGAAACUGCACGAGAGCUUUUUAUGCAGAUUGAAGGAAAUCCUGAAAGGCCUGGUAAGAAAUACUUCAGGUUUUUUAAACUCGUGGUUCUUUGUUCUGGAGAGUUGGUCAUAUCAAACUGUUUCUUCUUCCUCUUUCCUACGCCAUUGAGGUAAUUAAGUAGGAAGCUGGGUAAGGAAUAAAAAGGGGAAAGUUUUUAUUGGGAUGCAUAAAAAUGCGUUCUCUUAUGUUUUUCUAGUACAUUCUCACAUGAUUUGUUAUAAAAACUUUUUUCUUUUAAUUCCUUAAGCAGUGUCCUUCCGCCACAUGUUAGCAAGACCCAUUAAGUAAAACAUAAUACCUUUUAUCAGUUCAAUGUAUGGAACUGAAAUUGUAUUUAAUUUAAAAGCAUUUGACUUGAUGACAUAAAAUAAAUUUCAUUUCUGACAAAAAUUGUUUUCGAAGUGGAAAUGCAGACUCUGAAUCCUAUGGACUUCUUUCUAAAUUACUGGGAUUUGGUUGUGAAUGCUUUGGGUAUAAUGUGCGGAUAGUUGGGCAUUCACUUGGGGGUGCUAUAGCGGCAUUGCUUGGAGUGCAAGUAUGACAUUUCUCACUUAAAUAGGAAUAGUUACUUAAUGUUCUUCUUUAGUAAACAUAAUUUGCUAUUUUGAUUGCUUCAGAGAACUAGGUAUUCAUUGAAAGUCUAUUAUGAAAAAAAAAAAUAUAGGCAAAACGAAUAUUCCUUGCUUCCUUAGGAAAUACAGAUUGUAGAUGCAAAUUUGAAGCUGGCUCGAGGUCACAAGCAUGGGAUUGAAUUCUGGCCUUAUCACAAUCUGCAAAUUCUCAAUUUCUGAAUCUUAAUGAGAUGUUACUCAAAUACAAGAGUUGUUACAAUUAAAACUAAAACCAGCAUCCAUCGAAAAAGAUUUGACUAAACAAGAGAACAAAUUUGGUAAUCGGAAGUAGAAAAGUUAUGUGGAAUAUAUAAAAGAAUUUCAUCACUGAGAAGUCGAAAGACUUAAUCUAAGACAUGUACAAAUCUAGAAUGUCAAACAGAAGCAUAAUUAUAAGAAUUCAUAUUCUAAAAAGAAAAAACAGAGAAACAUAAUAAAUAAUUAUAUAAUAUUUAUAUUAUUUAAUUAUAUUUGAUUCUAAUACUCAUGUUAGAUAAGAUUAAGGUGUUGUUUCAAAACUCUUUAAGCAUUGAAAACUAUGAAGGACUAAAAAAAAAUCAUAAAUUGAAGAUUAUUUAAUAAACUCAUGCGAACAUUUAUUUAGUCAUUAAAUCACCAUUGUUUCCUCUUGUAUUGCAUCAUUUAUUUUUUAAAUGCAUAUAAUUUCCUUCAAGUUUUGAACAUGCAUUCAGCACUUUUAAAAUUUUCCAUGCACUGUUUUGUCUUUUUUUAUGCUGCCGUCUUUAAGCAUUUGAUUUUAUAGCACCAAAUAAAUUCUGGUCUUUUCCACAGCUUUAUAACCGCUACCCUAAUCUGCACGUUUAUUCAUAUGGGCCACUCCCUUGUCUGGAUUUAGUUGUGGCAGAUGCAUGCUCAGAAUUUGUGACAAGGUAAUUGUACUAGUAAAAUGUUUGAUUUUGGUUGACUCUCUUUUGGUAACACUUUUAGUUUCCUUUCUGCUUGCUUUUAUUCUUUAUGAUGCAGUAUCAUAUUUGGAAAUGAAUUUUCAUCACGCCUUUCAAUUGGAUCCGUCAUGCGGCUAAGGGCAGGCGCAAUCACAUCACUAUCACAAGAUCCUAAAGCAGAUAGUGCCAUGAUUUUAAGACUUGCUCGUAGGUUUCUAUACCUAAGCAAAUAUCAGAGAAAUAACUCCAAGGCUGAGAAUGAAUCCGAGUAUCAUUCAGGGGCCAUCAAGGAUGAUCUAAACCAUCAAAUCCGAAGAAGCCAGUGUGAAACUGAUAACAAAGGUGUCUUAUCUUUAAUAACAUAGUAGGCAUGUUGGAGAAUAAAUAUGUCACCCUAUGAGUGUGGGAAAUAGUGUGCAUUCUUCCAUGAUUCCUCGUACUCAGUUUGUGAAAGGUGCUUUUUCUAAAAAGAUUUUCAUCAUUGCAACAGGCAGCAUUGAACAAGAGACUCAGACAAUUAAAGGGGGUUUUGCUAUAGCCGACUAUGGUGAAUAUAUGUCUUUUGAUAGUGAAGAUUGCUUCGACAAUGAGCAUGAAGAAUGCUCACUUUGGUCUGAUGCCAGGGCAAGGGAUCAUUCUGUUGGAAUUGAUAAUGCCAAAUUUACAAAUGCUUUUGCUAAAGAUGCACGUUCAAUUGAUGAUCCAGUGUCUCGGUUUAUAGAUACUGUUCCAGAUUCUGAAAAUCCGUCUUCCAAUGAUCCCCCGGAGCUGUAUCUACCUGGUUUUGUGAUUCACAUUGUACUGGAGAAGAGAAGAUCACAAUCUGAUCUAAGGACGCAGGAGAGCGAUAAUUGUUAUAAAGCUUACGUUGCAGAUAGAGAAAACUUCAAAGAUAUUAUUGUUUCACCAUCUAUGUUCCUUGAUCAUCUUCCUUGGAGGUAAGACAAAUUACAACCACAACCUUUUCUCAUUUCUAAAUUAAUAUCUUUGACAAGUUCUUACCUGAGUGUUGGACUUGGCAGAUGUCAUGAUGCCUUGCGAAAGAUAUUGAAAUCUCAAACUGCUAAAGAUCAACUAACAGAACCUCACAUCAUCUGAUACAACUUACUGCCAUUCAACUUCAAACCAUCUAUACCAUUUUAGAAAAGAGUUAAAUGUUCUUAUUUAUAUAUACCAUAUAUAAUUUCUGCACUUACGAGCCACGACAAUAAUUAUAAGUGGCUAGUGUUAUUACAUGAUCUGAAAGGGUAAUGUAUCAUAAUUAAUUUAAUUAAAUAUUAGCUGUAUUAUAAUUAUUUCGAUUACUGAUAAAUAAAUUGCAUUCUGAUUUAAAAGGAAAUUUGUACCUAUAUAGUAUAGACACUGACAUGAAUACCGAUACGAACACGGAGAUACGUCUAAUUUCUAAAAUGUAAGACAAGAGAAUACGACUAAUUUCUAAAAUGUAGGAUAUAGAGACACGAACAUAUAUAUAUAUAUAUAUAUAUUAUAAUUAUGAAUUAUAUAAAUUGACAAUAAAGAUUUAUGUCCACAAGUAUAUUUUAGUUUUUUUAUGAAAGACGUUUCUUUUGACUAGUUCAAAAUAAUUUGUUCCUUAUUUUUAUAGUCAUAAUAAAAAUUUAUACAAUAAGUUUGAGUUUUUAAAAAAUUAAUGUAUUUUUCAUUUUUAAAAUUGUGUUAAAAUAUGUUAGAAUUGUCAAAAUUUUAAUAAAUAUUUUUUGAAUUAGACAUUUUAUUGAUACAUGUUUUAUAAGUGUCAGUGUUCGAUCUCACAAAUUUGUAAUGUAAUUAUUUUGACUACCAUUAAAAAUGGAGCUUAAAUUGUAUUGUAAUUAAUUUUAAUUUGAUUUCUAUUAAGAGAUAAAUUAUUACAAAAAUUACAAUGUUGAAUUAUAUAACAAUCUAUACUUAGAUACAAAAAUAACUUUUUUGACACUACAGGUAAGAAAAAUAAAACAAAAUUCAUUUUUUUUAUUAGUUUAUUCGCAAAUUGAUUUAAUUUGUAGUAGUUUUUCUAUAUAAUUUUGUUCGCAAACCUUGGUUCUUGACGACAAUAGAAGAGCAUAAGCAGUUUCUGGUUUGAAAGUUUCGUGAAUGUGACUCUGGUGUGCAUCAAGUGAAUUAGUUUUUCUUUAUCAAUAAAAAUAAAUGAAUAAAAUGAGGUAUUUAUGCGAUGUCCCAAUCUUUGUAAAAAAGUCCAAAAACAGGAAAAGAGAGUUAAAAAAGAAAGCAGUUAAGAAUCUAUGACACCAGCACUAGCACUGAUUUUUUAUAGCAAAUUAUGCAGCAGCUGCAUUCAGAAUUAUGCAGCAAGCAAAAUGCAUCCAACAAAUGAGCUAGUUAGUCCGUUGUGGCAGGAAGUGACUGUUGAAGUUGAGUACUUAGAAGCUUUAACCAGUUUUGAUGAGUAAAAUGAAGAGCUUUUGAGGUCGUACGUCUUCAGUUCAGUCUCUUAAAAUGUACUACUAUCAGUAUCCUGCAUGCUGUACCUUCAUCCAUGAUCAAUGAUCAGAAAAGGAGGAAAAAAAAAAGGUAUUACAUAGUCGUAUUCUCGUGAUUAGUGUAUAAAAAGUGAAAGCCUGAUUCAAUGAAAUCAAAUAUAUAUGUUCAAACCAAAUCUAAAGUGAGCCAAACUUUGGAGUGCCACUGUGUGGUUUUGACAAAGCAUGUCAGACAUCACGAUGAUGUCUUGUAGUUGAGCAGGCAUAGACCUUAAGAUUCUGUCUAUUCACAAAGUAACAUCUUUGGAGUAGCAUUAAUCAUACCAACCAAUAACAAUUCACUGUGGUGGUGGGGUUCAUGAUCCAAAUAUCAGAAUUGAAGAUGAUCACUACAAGAAAAGUGCAUGAGGCAAAGCAGUGAUUUAUAAAUAUGAGCACAUAAGCCACAUGUUUGGCCCUUAAACCAGUAAAGUUACAUUUUUAACUUGAUACCAAAUAUGCAGAUAGGUGAAUUUUGAAACUAUUAUUUACUCAAAAGUAUUAGGCCCCACAUGAAGAGUAGAAUUAAUUUUGUUUUGGGUGAUGCAAAGCUGCAUAAGAUCCGAAUAUAGCUUUUAUUGGGUGUGAUAGAAUGAUUUUAUCUGUUGUGGGAAAGCCAUCAUUUUCCACUUUUAUUGAACCUGCAAAUGUAGCAAUGAUUCAAGGGAAGCCAUGUAUGAAAAAUAACCAUGGCUUGUUCAUUUGUCUUCCUCAACUCCUCAAAAUUCUAAUCUCAAAUGCUCUUUGAUCACUUCAAAACUAUCUAGCUACACCAUUUUAUAUAUACUCACAAGAAACUUGGCAGAAUGAGUAAAUCCAGAUGAGAGGAAACAUAAUUUACCUUACUGAUAUGUUUGCUACAGUUUUAGCAAGUAGGGCCCUCUAAUAAAAACGUUUUCAAGACAAACUUGGCCACGUGAUGACUUUUCUUACCAACACUAUUUGACCAAUAAUUGUUCACAUGACAUUUUCUUGUAAUCCUAAUUUUGUUAAUGUUAAAAAAUUAUUAAAUACAAACUAAUUUUAAAAAUUAAAAUAAUUAAUUAUUAUAUUUAUUAAAUUAGAGAUUUAUUUAACAACUAAAAGAAUUUAUUUGUAUCUUAUCAAAAUUUUAACUAUUAACUAUUUUAUAUUCUAAAUUAGUUUUUAUUAAAAUCUAAAAUAUUAAUAACUUUGUUAAUUUAAAUACUAUUUUAUAAAUUUUUAUUAAUAAUAGAAAAUAUUUUAAAUACAAAUAUCUUUUUAGUUUUUAAAAUAAUAUCUGAUUUAAUUAAUAUAGUGAUUAAUUAUUUUUUAUCACUAAAUUUAAUUGUUAUUCAAUUAUUUUGUUGUGUCUACUUGUAUGUAGAUUUUAGAUGCAUGAGGUCAAAUUUGGUGAAUUGGAUAAGGUUUGAUGCUUGCUUGGAAGGUCACUUUCUCUUUAUUACUUUGUGUACUACAUGUUGUCAUUGAUUAUACAACCUCAUAUUUUAAUGUGUUAUAUACUAUCAUUGGUUGUUGUAUAAUACAAAACUCAUAUUCACCAUGCAAGCCUGCACUCAUUAACAUUCAAAGUAAGAAAACACUUUCUUGUUGUAGUGAUAAAACUGUAAGAUAAGAAAAUAAAACACUUUCAAUAAACAUGAGUUAGAAUAUUGGUUAGUUCCACACUAUGGCUGCGUCUAAGGUUAAAAAAGAGAGAUUUGUUGAAAGUAAAGUGAAGAGUGAAAUAGAGAAUUCAGUGUGAUUUUUGGAAUAAUCAGAAUAUGACAACUUGUUUCAUAACAUGUUGCUUUUCUAAGGAACUUCAUAAAUUGAUUGCUGUCCUUAUCUCCACUCUCGCAAACACAACUUUUGUAACACCACUGAAAAUUAAAUAAUUCAAAUUGCACUUUUCUUGCAAACACAAAAAAUCAUUUCAAGUUUUGAAAAAUGAAAUAACAUCAAAGAAGUUUAUGAAGUGGAAGCAAAUACAAAAUUUUGAACCCAGCUUUAUUUUGGGUCAAUCUAUAAUUCACCUUUUGAAAAAUGAGAAAGUAAAAAAAGAGUAACAUAGGAUACCAAGUGAGUGAGGUGAAUAAAAGUUGUGGUAAUUUGAUAGAUUUUGAAAAUUGGAGGAGCCAAAGACUUUUCAAUAUUCAAAUUCGUCUGCUUGGUUAAGGACAUAAGAGAAAUAAAAAUAACCAAAAUGUGGGUCCAAUCAUUUUAUUAAAAUAUAUAAUUUGUUUUCUUUAACUUGCUUUUUAAGAUAUAUAGUAAUGUUUCAAUUAUUGAUGAUCUAUCUCAUCGCAAUAUUCUUCACCUCAAAACCUUCUAUAGGUUCAAUAUUUCUAUUCCUAAACCUGCUUUUACUUUUUCCUAUUUAUUCUUUGAAAAAAAUACCAUCACAUGACUUGGUUCAACAUUUUAUAUGAAACUUUUGUAAAAUCAUGAUUUAAUCUAACAUCUAAUGUGCAGUAGAAGAAUCAUAAGGGUUUGCAUUAAAGUGAUAAAGGGUUUGGUUGUAAUAUUGAAAUAAAAGAGGAAAUGAAUGAGUUGAUGGCAUACAGAUGCAAAGCAUAUGAAUUAUUAAAGGGUAGAUAUAAAAAACUAGAAUGAAAACGACAUCAUAUACUUUUAUGUUUUUGUCCACCAACAUGAUUGAGUCAUUGAAAAUGGUAAAAAUGGAAUGAGAAAGAAGAAGGGAAAUUAAUUGGGAUAAUGAUGUUAUGCCAUCUUUCCUGUUCUAUGUCGGAGCUAUAAGAAGCAUCAAAUCUACGAAAUACCAUCAAUAAUACAAAUCUUAUUGCUCACUACAACUUCAUAAUAGAUUCAAAUUAAUGCCUUCUUAGAAGGUACACUUAGAUGCAUGUUUUUCUUUUUUUUCAUACAGAGUUUCUGUAUACCUCUCAAUUACAUAGCGUUUAAUAUUAUAUUUAAGACACAUAGAUAAAUUAUAGAUUAUUAAAGAAAGUUAUUAUUAUAAAAUUUGUUUAUAUUUUAGGAUAAUAAUUUUAUGUUUUUCUUAAUAGUUUGAGUCUAACGAGAAUUAUAAAUAGGUGGUAUAUAAUUCUCAUGGUUAGAAAAGAUACUAAACUCUAUUUUAUACUUUUAACUUUUUAUUAAGAAUCGAUCAUUAUUUUUAUAUUCUUAUUGACUUAAGCAUCUUAUAAGAAAAAUGAUAAAAUAAUAGUAAGAGGAAGAGAUAUUUUUUUUAUUGUAUAUUCAUGUAUAAGAAAUAUACAGGGAGUUUCUCUCCCCAAAUUACAAUCAAUCUAUAUAGGUAGGAUACUAAUUAUGAGAUUCCUAUCAUUAUUAAAUUAAUUGUAUAUAAUUAAGUAUAAUAUCGUGUAAUAUUAUAUACAAUAAUUCCAUAUAAUUUGAUAAUUAUUAUUUUUUAAUACAUUCUAAGUAAUAUACUCUUAUUGACUUAAUCUUCCGAAAGUCUUUGAAGAUAUAUCGUCACAGCGUUAAUAACAUCAACAUCUGUUUAGUGAUCUGUAGCUGAGCAGUCACAUUGUGGAAGAACAGGUGGAUGAGUGUUAUCAUUUAUUCAACAAACGUACAUGUUUAGGCUACCAUUAACAAGUCCCUCCCUCACCUAAACUCCAAUUUUAAAACAAACAUCACAAGUUUUGGUUUACCAUAUGAACUAUACAUGUAAAAAACAAAAGUUUGAGGUUGCAAGUGUUGGUGUGAAGUUGCUGAAAGUGGUAAAAGACAGAGACAUGCAGAAGCAGGAAGAUGAGGAGAGAGAAUGGAUCGGACAAAAAAUGUUGAAAUUGCAUAGUUUAAGGUGGUGGUGGGCCCCGGCGGCGGAGGGAAGAAGACAUUGUGCUUUUUGCUUUGGUUCCAUUCCAUCAUGCACGUGGUCCACGCCUUCUUAAUUAUCUUAUUAUGCCCUCUCUCACACACUAACAUUUUUCUCUUAUCAUGCUCAUACAUACACAUAAAACCAAAAUGUUUCUCAUUUUCUACAAAAAUUUUCAUCAUCAAACACAAUCAUUAAACAGUGCAGCGUUGCCUUUUUCAUCAUAACAGCUGUAUGCAACUAUAUAUAUAUAUAUACCAUUAAUAUUUAUCCACCCUAAAUCAUGACGUACAUUUUUUCAAUUAAAGAACAAAAAUGCAAAUGAAAUUAAUUUGAAGCUGAAAUUAGCUAAAAGCAAGCAGCAUAAUUGUGCAGUUGGAAGAUGACAGCAGCACUUUUGGUGGUAUUAUUGGGUAACGAAAAGGAAUGGUGGAGCUAAUAAACUUGGUGAGAAGUCAUAAUGAAGUUCAUAAUUUCAAACACCCACAAAAUGAUCCAAACACUUUGUUGAAAGAGGGUAGAAUGGAUAGAGAGAUGAUGUUGCUACUAAUAGUAUGUAUGUAUAAACCCUAAUCAGUGAAGACAGAUAACAGCUAGCUAUGCACAUAUAAUAAUAAAAAUAAAAGAUGGUAUUCUAUCUUCAUUCUCCAACCACAACCAAAUAAAAUAUAUGGUUGGAGAUCUCACAUCGACUAAAGAUUAGAGUCUUUCGUAGUAUAUAAGUGGGUGUAAAUCUCACCUCAUUGAGCCGGUUUUAUGAAAUUGAGUUAGACUUAAAGUUCACUUCGUAAUAUGGUAUAAGAGUCAUUUCGAGCUUAUCCUAGCGAGUGUUUGUGUUGAGCCUAACGUGUCACCCGCUAUAUAUAGUCUCACGCACGGGUUGGUAGUCGCGUGAGGGAGAUGUGUUGGAGAUCUCACAUCGAUUAGAGAUUAAAGUCUUUCAUAGUAUAUAAGUAGGUGCAAACCUUACCUCAUUGAGUCGGUUUUAUGAAGUUGAGUUAGGUUUAAAGUCCACUUCGUAAUAUAUAUCACUUUAGAGACUAAAAAAAUUAAUGAUAUUUAAAGUAAUUUCUAUUAUUAUUAAUAAAAGUUUAUAAAAUAAUUUUUAAAUUGAUAUCUAAUCAUUAGCUCUAAGAUUUUAUCUACUAAUAUCUUAGAUUCUAAAUUAGUCUCUAAAAGACCAAUUGAGAUCAAUUUAAAAUAUAAAAUAUUAGUAGCUAAAAUCUUAGUUAAUUUAGAUACCAAUUUAAAAAUUAUUUUAUAAAAUUUAAUUAAUAAUAGAAACCACAUUUCAUACAAAUAAUUUUUUAGUUUCUAAAUUAGUUUAUAAUUUAGUUAAUAUAAUAAUUAAUUAUAUAUUUUUUUAAAAUUUAAUUGUUAUUUAAUAAAUUUCUACCUACAAAAUUAGCCACUAUACAAGUCAUUUCGAUUGUUAUUUAAAUUAGCGAUUGAGUUUCGUUGUCAAAAGUCUAAACAUAUAUUUAAUAAUGGAUCGUUAGGGUAUAGCUGUUGCUCAUGAGUGACCAAUGUUAUGUUAUUGCAAUUUGUUUCGUUAUUUUAAAUAUAUAUAUUAAAACUAUUACAAAACCCCCUACUAUUUUUAAAAAUUAAUACAUUUUUAAGUCACUAAUUUAGUUGUAAAUUAUUUGUCAAAACUAGUUAUUUUGGUUGUUAUUUCGAUAGCUAUUUCUGAUAAUAAUUUAAUUUAAUAUGUGUAACACAACAAAAUUUAACCCUUAUAAUGACAUCCACUAUAUCUUACUUUAAACUUAUAACAUAUACUAAAAAUUAAAUGAAAUUGUUACAUCGUUAUAUGAACUAAUUAAAAGUGACAACUUAGAAAAACUAAAUAAAAAUCAGAAUUUCAAAUAAACUAACACUAAAAAUAAAUAAUAUCAAAAUUAAUUAGCCACUAUAUUAAUAAAUUAUAUAUUAAUUUAAAGAUUAAAAAAUUUAGUAUUAAUAAUAAAAUAUUAUAAAAUAAUUUUUAAAUUGAUAUUUAAAUUAGUUAUUAAAAUUUUAAUUACUAAUAUUUUAGAUUCUAAACUAGUCUCUAAACAACUAAUAGAAAUUAAUUUAGAACAUAAAAUAUUAAUAAUUAAAAUCUUAGUAGAUAAUAGUUAGAUAUCAAUUUAAAAAAUAGUUUAUAAAUUUUUAUUAAUAAUAAAAAUUAUUUUAAAUACCAAUAAUUAUUUAGUUUCUAAAAUAGUCUUUAAUUUAGUUAAUAUAAUAACUAAUUAUUUUAAUUUUUAAAAUUAAUUUUUAUUUAAUAAUUUUAAUUUCAUUACAAAUUUGAAGUGGUGCCGAUAAAAAAAAAAUUAAAAGUGGCAAGGAGUGAGAAAAUUAAAGGUGAUUUGUUAUUUUGUUAUUGGAAGAAUUUGCAAUUGUACUCAAUGGAGUAUUUUUUUAACAACGUGAAAAUAUACUUUAUUACCACUAAUUACUAAUAAAUAUAUUAGGAAAGAUAUUUGUUGUCUUCUUGUGUGAUUUCCUACACCUAAUUUAGAUGCUCAUAAUAUUUUUUUAAUAAAACAAUUUUAUCACAAUGCUGAUGACACAAAAAUAUAUAAAUUUAUUAAAUGAAACAAUUAAAAAAAAAUGCUAUAACAUAAAAGACAACAAGAAAAUAUAUAGUAGAAUCAUAUUGAAAGUCAUCAAUAUAAUCGUUAUGAGGAUCAUCAUAUCUUGAUUAAAAGCAUCUAUAGUAAUAAGAGUUUUACAAUAUUAUAUAUAGCAUUAUUUAUAUAUUUUAUGUCUCCCAAUAAUAUUAAAAUUAAGUGUCAAAUAUUAAUCUUAAAUAAAUAUAAAAUAUCCUCACGACCUAAAAAGUAUUAUAUCAGUUAAUUAAUUUUUAGUUUGCUGAUAAAGAAAUAAAAUAGUUAUGAUUGCAUACAUUAAAUGAAGAGAUAAUGCUUAUAUCUUCCAAUCUUAUUUUUCUUAUAUUUUCUUAUCUCAGAAGAUAAAAUUAAAAAUAUUAUUUCAUUUUUUAAUAAUUAUUAUUUUUUUCUUAAAAAUUCUUCUUCUUCUUAUUUUUUUUUUUAAAAAAAAUCUUCUGCUUAUUAUUUUUUGUUAUUUUCAUUUUACUUUAUCACUUCAUCUUACGAAUAAAGAUAUUACACUUUAAAUGUGUCAAGUGAAUGAAAUCUUCCCUCUAUCAAAUAACUCAAAUAAGUUUUCAUUUUUUUACAAUAAAAUUGUGUGUCUUCUAUUGUGGUUUCUUACUUCAUAUUAUUUAAAGCUCAUAUUUUUGCCAAUAAAAUAAUAAUAUUAAUAUUUAUGCAAAAAAAUUUAAUCCCAUAGAAUGUUAGUGACAAAAAAUGUAUAAAUUUAUUUUAUUAUAUAAAUAAAAUCAAUGUAAUAUGAUUAACUCAAAUAAACGAUGAUAUAAGUGUUGCUACACAUAGUAAAGUCAUUCCUUAAGGGUAAAUCUUCUUUAUUGAACAUUCUCUCUAAUAGAUUGGAGUACUUUUAAAUAUUUUAUAUUAUUUUAUUUAUUAUUUAGAAUAAUAACAAAAAAUAUAAUAAAGUCACCUUAAUAUAACAAUAAACUAUAAUCACACAUGAGUCAGAAAAUUUAAAUGUAUAAUAAAAUUUACAAAAUACUAUAUUUUUUAAUAAUUUAUCUUUUAUUUGUAUCUCUUUAUAUUGAGUUUUUUAAUAUUUUUUAUCGAGUUUGUGCAAUGUUUUUCUAACUCAAACUUACCAAGGACUCUGAGUUGAAGUCAAAUGAAUAUAAUAAUGUGGUAAUAUUAAAGAAAAUAAAAAAAAAAGAUUUGUAGAAACUUUUAUGACCCUAAAUCUCCUUUUAUAUAAUCUCAGAAAGUACGUUUUACGUCUUUUGAGCCUAAAAUAGUGGAGAUUUAGUUUGUGAUGUGUUUUGAAAAGCAAACAAAUUAUGAGAAGUGUAAAUCAAGUUUAAGAAAUAUGAGAAACUUGUAUAAUUAAGGAUAUUUUAUUAGAAACACUUUCCAGUUUUAAACAAACAACAUAUCUUCCAUGAAAAACUCCUGUAAUUCAUUAAUUAUUAGAACAUAUUAUUUAUAAAAUAUUAUGGUUGUGGGUGUAAUUAUUAUGGUAGAAUCACAAGUUUGAAAAAAUAAAAGUUAUUAAGAAAAUCAUAAUACAAACUAAUUUUAAAAAUUAAAAAUAAUUAGUUGUUUUAUUAAUUAAAUUAAAAUAUUUUAUAAACUAAAAUACUUAUUGAUUUUUAAAUUAAUUUUUAUUAUUGAUAAAUAGUUUUUAAAUUGAUAUCUAAUUAGCUAGCAAUAUUUUUGUUAAUAAUUGUUAGUUAAAAUCUUGGUAAUUAAUUAAAUAUAAAUUUAAAAAUUAUUUAUCAAUAAUAAAAAUUAAUUUAAAAUCUAAUAAUUUUUUAAGUUUUUAAAAUAAUCUUUAAUUUAGUUAAUAUAAUUAAUUAUUUUUAUCUUUAAAAUUGGUUUUUUAUUUAAUUAAGUUACUAAACAUGUAAAAUUAAGUACUAUUAUUCUUAGGGCUUAAUUAAAGCUAAGUGAAUAAAAAAACAUCUGAAUGAAAGCCGUACAGGAAUUGGUUAAAAUUAAUUUUUGUUCUUAAAUGUAAAAAACAAAUGUCCUUUUCCUUAUCGUUUACAAUAUUAAUCUGUGUUCAGUUGCUUUUGAUAUGUGUGCCAAUCAAAAACAAACACAACAAAAUUCAAAUUCAUUAUUCUACAACGGCUAUUUUCUAAUUUCUAUGAUGUCGGUGAGUUUAGUAUUAUGUCUUCUUCAUCUUUAUUACAUAUAUUCACUACUUAACGUUAUUCAACUCAACUAUAAUAUAUUAAUUAUAAACAAUCAUUAAUAAAUAUAAUUAAACUCAAGUCGCAUUCACAUAUAAUUAAAUUAAUCCAUUCUAAAUCGUGUUUACCAAAUAUUCCGUUACCAAAAUUUCAUAUACCAUUACUUUUUUUUUUAAAUCAUAGUCUAAAAUAACUUUUGACCCUUAACUCCUUUUACUAAACUUCAAUUCGAUUUUUAUCUUUCAAAGAAAAUUAUUUUUCAUCAUAUAUCUCUCAAAUUUUUAUAUAUUUUCAUUUCGAAAUCGUCAUCGUUUUUUAUUUUAUGUCACGGUUUUUUACUUUUUUAACUAAUUCAAAAUGUAAAAUCUAUUCUACUGAAUCUGAGGAAAAAAAAAAUCGGUGCUCGUGAAAUUAACUUUUCACGCAAUUUUUAGUCAUUUUAUGAUUUCUUUUAGUUUUAACAUCCAUAAUCUUCUUAUAGAAUAAUCCAACCGAAAACCUUAUGCGUUUUUCAAUAAAUAAUCAAGGAUUCAAAAUAACAUUGAUUUUUUUUAAAAGACUAACUUUAAUAAUAUUAUUGCAUAUAAGUGAGUGUUGUUAACCAAAAUGGAUUUACGAGUUUUUGUUGUCUAUAUCCAAUUAUAUGUGAGGAAAAGUGAAUGUAGAAAGAAAAAAAAUAGUUUCUAUAUCUUCAAUUUGAAAGUGUACCGAAAAACAAUGAAUAAGAAAGAACGAAUCAAUUAAUGAAAAAUAUAGUUUGACAAAUCUUUAAGUUAUAUACAAUCUUUUUAAAAAUAAAUAUAUAUAUAUAUAAUAAAUGAUAAAUUUAUAAUUAAAUAAUAUAAAAAAAUAUUAAAAUAAUAAUACUGAGAAUUGUAAUAUGAUUGUAUAAGAAAAAAAAUUGAGUUAUCUAUAUAUAAUUAAGGUUGAUUUUUAAGAAAUGAUCAUGAUAAUCUCACUUUCCAUUAACUUUUCUUUUCGAUUCAACACUUUCCUCUUCCUCAAUUUUAUAUUUAAAUCCAAACAAAAUAACAGAUAAAUGUUAAAAUAAAUCUUUUAAAUAAUAAUAAAUAAAUACAAAUUUUAGUAAAAAUAUUAAAAGAGUUUAAUUUCAAAUGUAAUAACUAAUCAAACUCAAUAUUAAGAGUAACUAAGAAAUUUGAAAAUAAAAUGUAUGAAAUAGAUUAAGUAACUUUGUAAAGAUUUAAAUUUGAAAUGUAUAACAUACUACUGUAAUCAUUAUUACUAGCGGAAAUAAACAGAAAGCCUUAUUUUUUAAAUAUUUUUAUAUAAUAUUAUUAUACUAUAAUUUUUUAAUUAAUAUAUGGUAAAUUUAUAAAUAUAUAAAUGAUAAAAUAAAUUGGAUUAAUAAGGGUAUUUUCACCAUACUAUUUUUUUAAAGAUUAAAUUAUAUAUAUUAAAGAUAAAAAAUAUUAUGUAUAUAUAUGUGACCAUUAUUUAUAAAAAAAAGUUCUUUAAUUAUUUUGAAACAAAAAUAAUUAUUCAAUUAUUUAUUUUAUUAAAUAAAUAGAUAAAUUACUUUUGUCAAAAGAUAAUAAUUACACUUUUUCUUUUGAAAAAAAAUACAACUAAUAUAAUAACUAUUGAAAUACAAAUAUAUUAUUAAAUUACAAAAAAACAUUUUUAUUAAGAAUUAUUAUAAAAAAAAAGAAAUUCAAUUCUGUUGUAUGUAAUUUCUUUCUUGUGUAGGUGAUUUUUUUAUUAAUCUUUGUUUUUUUCAAAUUCAAAACUUCUCUAAUUUAUUUAAAAUUCAAGAUUCCAAUUCAAAAUAAAUAAUUGUUAAAUUUAUUAUAUUAAAUUAUAAAGUAUAAAUUGAAAAAUGUGUACAUGAAACCCCUUUCUAUAUCAUAGAUUAUAAAUAUUAUUAACAAUAAAAAAUAUAUAUUAAAAUUAUAUUGUAGUUGGAUUUGAGUCAAUUUUAAAAAUACAAACGGCAAGAUCUGAACCGUUCCCCUCCAUAGUUAAAAAAGAAAUCCAAACAAUGCAAAAACAGAAUCUUUUUCUGUUAUUAGUUAUUUAAUCUUCUAUCAGUUUUGUUUUGUUUUGGAUCUGUGUGCUUUUACCCUAUUACCACCAAAACAUUUAUAUACAUCUUCUAAAACAAAUAAAAUUCUCUUAUUUUUUCUUAAAAAAAAUAUUAUUUUAAAGUUAAUAAAAAGUUGAAUAUUUUAAAAGAGUUAAGAAGAUUUUAUGUGCUGCCUUUCCCUACACAAAAAAUUAUUUUUGGUCUUACAAUAAGGAUAAAGUGUAAAGAUGUUAUCUUUUAAACACAACCAUAAUUGAAAAAACACAUUUAGCAUUUAAAUAUUCCAAAAAAACAGCUCUUUUUUAGUCUUUUUAUUUACAUACUUUUCUUGAAAUCUCAUAUACAAAAUGUAGGGUGUCUGCAGCUUGUAUUGUCUAAUGAAUUACCUUGGUUUUAUCUCAUAAAUUUUGAGUUUUUUAAGACCAAAAUCUGGUUCAGGUUGAAGUCACCAGAAGACACCAACUGAGAAAAUAAUGUAUUUAAAUAGGUAGUGUUAUGUUACUGCAUUAAGGAACUGUUAACAGUUGUAACAGAAAAAAAAGACGAAUCUUAGUUAUUUUUCUUGUGAAUUUAUCUAAAAGCAAAUCAAGUAAGAGGAAAUACUAUUCUUUCAUGAAUGAAUCAUGUGAAAAUGUGGAUCAAGAAACGUCAAAAGAAGGGUAUAAAUAAUAAAAAAAAUGAGAUAUUUUUAUGAAAAAGAAUGAACACACAUACAUACAUAUCUGUCAUCUCAGAACGUAGGUAGAUCUACACAGGCAUACCUACAGCAGCAGCCAGCAGCCAUCACCACGUGCAAAAAUAAAGAAAAAAUUUCAUCACAUUUUUAAUUGCUGUCAAAUUUUGGCCUUAUAACUCAGCAGGGAACACAAUUUACUGCUAUAUGUUAUCCCAUAUUCAGUCUUCAUUCAUCAUCAGAGAAAUAAACCAAAAGGAACAAUUUUGAAUGGAUUUUGAUUUUUUCACAUUUUAGCUUUAACAUAUGUUUUGGUCAACAACCAAUUCUGAUAAAUAUGCACGUGUCACUGUCAAUGUGUCCUUCAUAAUGGUAUUAUGUCCUUUGUUGUCACCUUAACUUCAGGGUGCUGUUUUCUGUUUGGACCAAUGACAGUUUAAAUCUGAUACCAAUUCACUCUGCUACACCUAAUGGUAAUAUGUCACUUUUUGCAUAAAAGAAAGAAAUUUCAUUUCACAUCUCAACACCAUGAAACCAAAGUCUGAAUUUUUAACAAGAGAACUUCAUAAGUGAUGAAAAAGUGUGAUCAGAUGCAGAUGGGGUGCUGAGAUUAACGGCCAGAUGGAGAUAACUUGAGUCUGCAUAUUGUAACAACUUGCACCACACCUAAACGUGAGAAUUUGAGGACCAAAAGUGGUUGAUGGUGUGGUCCUCCAAAGAUCUUCAAUACAACAAUUAUAUGAUCUUAAAAGAAAAGUCUUUCUUUUGAUUAUUUUUUUUCACUGUGUUUUACUCCUAUCAUUCCCACAUUAUAAGCAUCGAAAGGGACUCACGUUUCCUCUAUCAACUGUCUGCCACUGUGCAAUUCUUCUCUCUUCCAAUCAUAACUUUUCCACCACAUCUCCAUCUCAUUAUGCAUGCAUCCAAUCUCCAAUUUACGUUUAACUUUUCUAACCAAUUCCAAGGGAUUUAUUAAUUUCCUUAAAUUCAACAACCCUUAUGAAUUUUAUGUCUGUUUACACCCCAAUUCAGAGAUGUUAUACCACACGGCAUUGACUAUCAUAAACAAUGCAGAGAGAUGAGAAAGGUGGCUAUUAGAAAUUAGAAAAAUAGGUUCAAGUAGGUUCACAUGGGGUCACAGUUAAUGCACAUACCCUGUUGUAAUCUUGACCAAUGGGGCAUGUAAUUACAUGCCCUGGCACACCAACUUAGCCUUAAGAAGAAGGGUAAGUAACCCAGAUGAGAAAAGUUGCCACAUUUACCUUCAAACCAGUUCAAGAAUUACCCUUCUGUAAAAAUCCCAUUUGCAGAGAAAAAGAGAUUAAUUAGCAGGGAAUCUUGACUCUUGAAACCAUAUGAAACUAGAUAUGUCCGGUGCAUCAUAGAGAAACGUACCUGAUUUUUCCUACUUUUGGACAGUAGGGUCAUUUUUAAUUGCCAAAUGCUUAGUUGUUUGAAUUAUAUUAUAUUAUCCAACAGGGCCAAAUAGUUCUAUGAGGGAACAUUAGUGUGCACGUUCCAUUAUUCAUUCAUGUUACACUUAUUCAUUAUUCAUGUCAUAAAUCUUUGUUACAUGACAUUGGUCAAUUGCCAAACCCAAUGCAAAUAUUUGAAAUUCACCGGAGGAACAACAUGUUAGAGACAAACCCAAUGAAUUCUUCAGAAGCAAUUAUAAAUUAACAAGUGUCCAAACAGAAGCAUUUACAAAGAGUGGAUGGUCCAUGAGCUUCUUCAAAAGUGUCGUUUUCUAGAGAUGUAAAGCAAGGUAGCUAAAGUUGAAUGUAGAAUGCAAGAAAUGAAACCAUUCUGGAAAUCACCAUUUUCCCCUGGUUACUGUUUUCUAGUCCUUUUUUAUGUUGGCCUCUAAAGUUCUGGUACCACGAAUUAGCUGUAUAAUAAGCAGCAACGUGCACUUCAUGCUGGUGUUGACAACCUCACAUGUUAAUCUCAUCAUUGAGGAACCACAUGGGUGAGAAAAUUCUUAAAGAAAGUGAAAGAAAAGAAAAAGAAAAAAAGCAUAAACAGGUGAAGUGCACCAAAGUUGUACUCUUCUCAUGGCAACUUCUCAUUCUGUCCACCCCACUGGAAUCAACGUAUUAAGGCAAUAUUUGAUUUGUGAAGGUGUAUAAUUGCGGAUAUACGGUAUAUAACAGAUUAAACAAAUGGAUGAUAGUUGUGUGUGGGAACCCCACGAACACGUGGAUAGCAAAUUAAGCCAAAUUUGGAUUAUUCUUUAUGAGAAACUGCCAAAGGGUUGUGUUCCAAAUGUACUAAAAAAAAAAUGGUGUUGAAAAGUCAAAAUAUCUUGACCCUUGAACAAAAGAGGAUUCGAUCCAAAGCUUGCAAUGGAUGGCAUCGAGGAGCAAUGGAACAAAAAUGAUGAGCAGUGAUGGAACCGUGAUGCAAAAUACAUUAUUGUUUCCCUUCCCUGGAAAACAGUAGGAAGAAAAUGAGUAAAGAGAAAGAGAUAAAAGAAUAAAGCAUAGUUUAAUGGGUAGUUGGAGAAAGGAAUAGAGGCUUAAAAGGUUGGAGGAAAACAAAAGAAGCAAGAGUUUACGAAACUGUGGUUAAAGAAAGUCACAAGGCCAGCUGGGGAAGCUUAUUUUAAAGCAUUAUAUCAAAAUGAAAGGUAUUUAAUAGUUUGAAUUGGUCCCUCAUGACAGCUCCUCUUUAACGACUCACUUUCACUAUAAGUACUAAGUAUUUCAUGCAGCUUUUGUCAGUCAUAUCAUCACUAACACCAUAACCUCUUUCUUCUUCUCCUUCCACCAAUUUCAGUGAGGAUCUGAGAAGAAGCAUUGCUCAGAGGAACUCAGCUUUUUCCUUCUACGCAUGACUGCAAGGGGCAGAGACCCCUCAUGGGGUCUUCUCUGGCCGCAAAUGGCCCUCGCAUUUUCCAUUGCUCUCCUUUCUUUCACUGUGGUUUCUGUCAAUGCUGAUGGUUACCCUUACUAUUCUCCUCCUCCUCCUUACGAGUACAAAUCACCACCUCCUCCACCUUAUGAGCACAAGUCUCCUCCUUAUGAGUACAAGUCUCCACCUCCCCCAUCUCCAUCUCCUCCUCCUCCUUACGUCUACAAGUCUCCACCUCCACCACCAUAUGAGCACAAGUCUCCUCCAUAUGUGUACAAAUCACCACCUCCUCCAUCUCCUUCACCACCACCUCCUUACGUCUACAAGUCUCCACCUCCUCCUCCUUAUGUCUACAAGUCUCCACCUCCUCCUCCUUACGUCUACAAGUCUCCACCACCACCUCCUUAUGUCUACAAAUCUCCCCCUCCACCACCAUAUGAGCACAAGGCUCCACCAUAUUAUUACAAGUCACCACCACCUCCUUCCCCAUCUCCUCCACCUCCUUAUUACUAUAAAUCUCCUCCACCACCCUCUCCCUCACCUCCUCCUCCCUACUACUACAAGUCUCCACCACCUCCUUCACCAUCUCCUCCUCCACCCUACUACUACAAGUCCCCACCACCUCCUUCACCAUCUCCUCCUCCACCCUACUACUACAAGUCCCCACCACCACCCUCCCCAACUCCCUACUACUACAAGUCCCCACCACCACCAUCUCCAACUCCCUACUACUACAAGUCUCCACCACCACCAUCUCCAACUCCUUACUAUCCAUCCCCCACUCCUUACUACUACAAGUCUCCACCACCACCAUCCCCAACUCCCUACUACUACAAGUCUCCUCCUCCUCCUUCACCUACUCCUUACUACUACACUUCUCCACCACCACCCAAAUAUCCACCUCCCUACUAUUAUAACUCCCCUCCUCCACCUGUUGUGUAUCCCCCACACCCCUACCACCCCCACCCCUUGAUUGUCAAGGUAGUGGGUAAAGUCUACAGCUACAAGUGCUAUGACUGGGAGUAUCCCGAGAAGUCUCACAACAAGAAACACCUCAAAGGUACACACCUUAUUUUUCUCAUUUACAAUGCCUUCCAAUUAAUGUUCUCUGUGUUACCAUCAAACUGUUACUUUCCUGCUUCUUUGAUGUUCAUUAGCAGCCGCUUUUUGGAGUUAGGAGACUCCUAUGUUUCCAUAAUGGAAAUGUCUUUGUUUUUAAAAUUCAGUCACUUUCACAACCACCUUUUCUUAUCUGUCUGUUUUUCUUAUAAUUAACCUUUUGAGGUUAAUUAACGUGUUAAUAAGGUUUGAGGGAAAAAAACUGAACAGAUUCAGAGCGUCUAGAGUAAUGCACAAGUGAACAUUUUAUAAUGUGGUUAAUAGGCAUUUUAUAAUUUUAAUGAUAUAUUUAUCUGCAUUGAUCUGUGCAAGUAUCUUUAUAUAAAUUAAACAAAGAUACUAAAUAAAUGUCUUAGAUUAUGUGUGAUUAUCUCCAAAAGGAGAUUCAUAAAAAGGAAAAGAAAAACAGAAAUAUAAUUUAGAAGAAUCGGCUAAUGCCUGUAAUACAUUAAGAAAUAAUCAACUAGACACUUUAUAUAUGAACCUUUAAAUGAUUCUUAAUAUAUAAUAUAAUAUGGUAUCUGACAAAACUUUCACUUUAAUGAUAACUUGGUGUGUGGUAUGAUCUAUGAAUUGGAAUUAAGCAUUUUGGGGUGAAUGCAGGUGCUACUGUUGAGGUUAAAUGCAAAGCAGGAAGAAACAUCAUUAAGGCUUAUGGUGAAACUAAGAGCAAUGGAAAAUACAGCAUCACAGUUAAGGACUUUAACUAUGUGAAAUAUGGAUCCGUAGUGUGCAAGGCCAAGCUUUAUGCCCCACCUAAGGACUCUCCAUUCAACAUACCUACAAAGUUGAACGAGGGAACAGAGUUGAAGGUCAAAUCCAAAGACAAAUAUGAAGUUGUGUUGAAGGCUAAGCCAUUUGCUUAUGCUUCAAAGAAGCAUUUCAAAGAAUGUGAAAAGCCUAAGCCUUCACCAACUCCAUACUAUUACAAGUCACCUCCUCCUCCAUCUCCAGUUUACAUAUACAAGUCACCACCUCCUCCAUCACCUACUUAUGUUUACAAGUCACCACCACCACCAGUGAAGUCACCUCCCUAUUACUAUCAAUCUCCACCUCCACCAUCACCAAAACCUCAGCCUCCUUAUUAUUAUCACUCUCCACCUCCUCCAACACCAGUUGUUAAGCCACCAUACUACUACCAAUCUCCACCUCCUCCAUCUCCAAAACCUAAGCCUCCAUACUACUACCAAUCUCCUCCUCCUCCAUCACCAAAACCUAAACCUCCUUACUACUACCAAUCUCCACCUCCUCCAUCACCAAAACCUCAGCCUCCAUACUACUAUCAAUCUCCACCUCCUCCAACACCAGUUGUGAAGCCACCAUACUACUACCAAUCUCCACCUCCUCCAUCACCAAAACCUCAGCCUCCUUACUAUUACCAAUCUCCACCUCCUCCAACACCAGUUGUUAAGCCACCAUACUACUAUAAAUCUCCACCUCCCCCAUCACCCUCUCCUCCACCACCAUACUACUACAAAUCUCCACCACCACCAUCCCCAUCACCGCCACCUCCAUACUACUAUAAAUCUCCACCUCCACCAUCACCGGUUGUUAAGCCACCAUACUACUAUAAAUCCCCACCUCCCCCAUCACCCUCUCCUCCCCCUCCAUACUACUAUAAAUCUCCACCUCCAUACUACUACCACUCUCCACCUCCACCAUCACCAGUUGUUAAGCCACCAUACUACUACAAAUCUCCACCUCCACCAUCACCCUCACCUCCCCCUCCAUACUACUAUAAAUCUCCACCCCCACCUUCACCAUCCCCUCCUCCUCCAUACUAUUAUAAAUCACCACCACCACCAUCCCCAUCACCGCCACCUCCAUACUAUUACAAAUCCCCUCCACCUCCAUCCCCAUCUCCACCGCCUCCUUAUUACUAUCACAGUCCUCCUCCACCAUCUCCCACUCCUCAUCCUCCCUACUACUACAAAUCCCCUCCACCACCAACGUCCUAUCCUCCACCUCCUUACCACUAUGUGAGCCCUCCACCACCUUCUCCAUCUCCACCUCCACCAUACUAUUACAAAUCACCACCUCCUCCCUCCCCAGCCCCCGCUCCAAAGUACAUUUACAAAUCACCUCCACCUCCAGCUUACAUCUAUUCUUCCCCACCUCCACCCAUCUACAAGUAAGCUCGGAUUGUGGAAGCACCAUUCACCACAAAUCAUGUAAGUUCAGGAUUCCAACAUUGAUCAUAAGUAAAAUUAGUUAAUUAUACGUGUAUGAAUUUUAGUAAUGGAAAUUCCCACUGAAUUAUUUU